UUAUUUUCCACACCUUGAGGACAAGGUGUGAAAUAAGUUUGGGGGUGGGAAAGUAAAAUUUUAGGAUUUUAAUUAUUGUGUCAGUUAAAAAUUUUCAUUCUUUUUUCAGUUAAUAUCCAUAGUUUAUUUUAAACUUUAGAACAAAUGAACAUGGUGAAGAUGAGUCUCAUAGUAGAGUCUUUUCUAUUUAUUUUUGCUUAGACACUAAUUAGUGAAAUGUACUUUGAAAUUUGCACGUCACACCAACAUGGUUUGUGAAUAGUGAGAUUGAAGCACUUACUUUUUGUCUAAGUGCAUUUUAAUUUUUGUUCUAUAUAAAAUAAAUUUAGUACGUGUUAUAAAGUAAUAAUUGUUCCACCCAAGGCUUUGCCUAGUAACCGGGUCAGUCCUGCCUAAUCAAUAGUGAUUCUCGCGUCAAACGGUAGAGUUUUGGCAUGGGGCAUGGUGGUUAGUUGGUUUCAUAGCCUUUUCAGCUCGAGUUAAUAAGUUCGUAGGGGUGUUUUACAGCUAGUACCUUAAAGCCCAAGUGGUUUGGGAGUCAUUGACCUAAAGCUCGCUACAUAGGUUGGAUCGAAAGCUUAACUGAACUGACAUUGACUUGAAACCCGUUAUUUUCGUGUCGUGUCAGAAAUUGGCGGGUCUAUCCAGGAGGUCCUCUUCGGUUAAGUCCUCUUCACAGAACUUAAGCAGUGAUCGGAUUCUACAAACUUCAUAGUUGUAUUCAUUUAUAGACUUAAAGUCUUGGAAGCAUAAAUGUUGCCAGUCGUAUCUUGCUUCAGGCAAGUAAAUGUUUUUCUGGUGAUCGAAGUGAUCGGCCAAAGCAAUCCAAAGGGUGUGUGGGUCCUUCUUAGCAAGAUACUCGGUCUGCAGUGCAUCAUGGAUGUGUCUUCGAAUAAAGAUCAUAGCAUUAGCUUUCUGAGCUUCGUCGACUAGGUCGUCGGUAGGUUCCUUGAUGGUGGCUCGAAGACUCUUUACAGUAAGAUGGAGCUUCAUGUCUUGAACCCACUUUGGGUAGUUUCUUCCAAAUACUUCCAAAGCGAUGAAAUCAAGCUUGUUCAAGUUCGACAUGUCCCUAAAAUAGAGGGUACAAAAAAAAUGUGGUUAGUCAUAUGGAAAACCAUAUACAUACAUUGUAGAACAUUCGGGUUCUAUAGACAUGUAUUGGUUUAAUUUAAACAUGAAAGCUACGGGUUUCAUGUGGUAUGUUUUGAAUGAAAACUUUGGGUUUCAAAGGCACUAAAUUCGAAACUACAGGUUCGAUUUUAGUUAUGAACGUCUAGUUCAUAUAUAGGUGUACCUGCAAGAACAUGUAAUACAAUAUACAACUAAGUGUAGUGGAUUUAUGGAUUGCUUCCGGAACCCAAGUGUGAAUGUGUCGGGACUACUAAAGAUAGUCAACGGUUCAAAGAAAACAAAUAAUUUAUUGAAUCAUUAAUUGCCAAAAAGUAAGUUUCAAGCCAAUAAUUUUGGAUUAAUUGUCAGAUUAAUGGACUACGGGUCACUUUAAUUAAUUCAAUAGAUCAUAACCAUUCAAGUUUGAUCGUAAAAGCAAAAUAAUAACAUUCAGGUUAAUAUUAGCAGGAAUGCUAAAAAAUAGCUUUAGAUUUGAAAAACCAUAGCCCAAUAUUAGUAGGCUGGUUGCCGUGUACGGGGCAAGGCCCUAAAGGGGUUUAAUGGGCCACAGGUUGGCUGCAAAGGUUGCCCAAUCAUGGCUGCAGGCCAUAAGCCGAUUCCAGGAAGCAACCCAGCAGCUAGGCUGCUGGUUUUGGGCCUUAAAAUGGCGUGGGUUGCUAGUUUCUUUGAAGUUCACGAAUCGUCGGCGUAGGGUUCGGCCUUAGUAAUUAUAUUUGUGAGAAUAUAAGUACACCGAAUUGGAACCAGACAGUAUGGACACAAAUACUUAAAAGAGAUAAGUGUCUUGAUUGUAAAUAUGGUUCGGCCGUAGGAAUGCCAAACUCUAAAAUGUACUUGUGAAUAUCCAAUCAUAAAAUAAACUUGGCUUACAAUGUGCCAAGCCUGGUAACACCUUACUUCGUCGAGGAUGUUGAUGAGAUGACCUCUUCCAACAAGGACUCGGAUAUCCUUGUUGACCGAGACUUGGAUAGAUGACCAGUCGAUCUUGAAACAAUGUUGUUUAUCCAAAUUAAAGGUGUUCCUCGGUCGGCUGAUUCUAUGGCUCCAGUGCUAUUUAUCCAAACUGAAAAUGUUGCCGGUUGCCUUCACAGUGUUGUUUAUCCGAACUAAAGAUAUGUUGGCGAGAAAAAAGAAAAUAAAAAUCUCAAGGUGUUUGAGAGGUUUGCGCAAGGCAGUUGUGGGUUGAAUUGGAGAAGCUUUGAAUGAUGCAUCCCCCUCUCUAUUUAUAGUAGCGAUUUCCCAAAUAACCAAACUAGAACUUCACUUGGACUGAAAUUCCUUAUCCUAAUCUGAUUUGGUCUCGACCAAUCCUAACCUCUAUAGGACUCUGAACCAAGCUCUUUAAUCAUUCAGAUUCAUCCCUUGAAGUUCAGCAUCUCCUCUAACUCAGAAGUUUUUAAACUCUCGAGAGUCCCUCUUGUAUUAGGAUUCGACCAUUUCAUCUUUAUCCAGGCGAAAAUCACAUUCUGAUAGGACUCGGCCAAACUCUACUGGGCUUGACCCAAAAUAUCAUUUUGGGCCCAAACAGUAACCAAAGAAGUCGAUGACACAGCGCCUCAGAGGCCGUAGGAGCAACUGGAGCAACUGGCGUAGGAUCCACGUUCAGUGGAGCAGUGAUCUUUCUCCCUCACAUUCCUAUUUAGAUGUAGGUGCAGCAAAUCAGACAUCAACAUUAUAAUAUCCACAUAUUCUAAAUCCACAUCUUAUAAGACACAAUUUAUAAAUUAAAAACUAAUUAUCGAAACAAAAUUGUUCUUUAUUUGGAUAUAUAAAGACUUACCCAAUGGUUAUUAGGGCUUAAUUCAUGGAGAAGGUUGUGAUGAGGAGUGUGGCAAGUUACCCAGUUGUUAUUUGUCCUCUCUGAAUCUUUAUAUUAGCUUGUAUCUUGUAAAUCUCACACGUGAUGAAAAUGUGGUUUUUCAUUAAAGUGAACAGUACCGGAAGCUUUUCGUUAAAGUUCUCUAUUUAAAAAUUACCUCCUGCAAAACAUAAUUCGAAUUGGAAACAAUCAUCCAUACACAUCAAUAAAUGGACGGUUCGUUAGGAAUAUUACUUGGUCCCUACACUACACAUUUAAAUGACUAAAUGAUCUCCGAUUGCAAUAAUUUUUUUUUUGAGGUAAUCUUCAUAUGAAGACUAAGAAAUUAAACGGUUCCAAUUAUGAAAGUUGUACGAUCAAUAUACAUUAUUUGCAAUAGGAGAAUGAACUCAUCUUUCCAAAAGGGAAUGCAAGUAUUAUAUAUUUUUUGAUCCCCCUUAUUGGUAUAAAAAAGUAAACUGGAAGAACAAGCUCAACAAUUAUAUAUAAUUUUUAUACAAAACCAUUUAAGAGCUCAAGUUGGCCAAAAAAAUAUCAUCAGAUGUAUUGCCAUUCUCUAAUUGAUUAAAAGUUGUGAUAUUCUUUUGGUCUUGUUUGCAAAGUAAUUGUCUUUUUCCUGAAGUAUUGAGUUUGAAAUAGUGUUUUCCUCUAAAGGUUAAUGUUAUCAAAGUUUACAUGUAAACCCCCUUUUUAUAAAAAUAAUUAAGGAAAAGAGCCUAACAAAACAAAAUUUCAACUAAAAAACACUUAAUGGAAUUUUUUUUCAAUACACGAUAUUAUCGACACUAAUGCACGUGAAAAUAAAUUAAAUUUUAUAAUAGAUUAAUUACAAUAAUUUAGUUCAAAUUUAACUUUUUUAAUCAUACACAAAUAAAUAGACCCCAAACAAAGACUCAGUCCUUCCACAUGUUCUUGAAGCUGCUUGUGCAGAGAGUGAGAACUGGCGGAGUAGCAGCCACGCCAGACAAAUAUCGUUGUUACGACAUACGACUCCUUCCUGUUCAAUUUUCACUGCUAGUUUUUCUUUGUUUCUGAUUUCAAUAUAAUUAAGACUUACGAAUAAUUAAGAAAAUAAACAAUUUUUACAGUCACCUCAGACGAUGGAUGCAAGUAUUUCCCUUGUAGAUAAUGAUUUUAAAUAAGACUGUGCUAUCAGCAUUUUUUUUUUACUUCUCAUACACCAUUUUAAUUUGCGACCGUCGGAUCGAAUAAAUAUUAAUGAGACUUUUUUUACUCUUUAAUUUUAAAAUUAUGCCAUCUCUUUGAAAAUUAUAUUGCAGUUGGGCAUGAUUAAAGAAGAAGACCACCAAAUUUAUAUUUCAAGUGGGAGUUUUGGGUGAGUGUUCAUGGUGGUGGGUGUGAUGUUGUUCUUGGGUAGAGGGCAUCAAGUGAGUGAUCUUGGUAGUGGCAGUGGCGGACGUUUGGAUGCAUGUGGGAUGAUGUUAUGGUCGAAAAUUGUUGGGUUGCCGAUCGCCGUUUGAAUGCAGGUUGUGGUGAUCUUUUUCUUCUCCAAAAGCCCAAAACAUUCAGAUUAGGUUUGAAUCCAGAAGUACAUAUAAAAUAAUAAAAAAAUUGAACAAAAAGUUAUGGCAUACUGAGAAGAUGACAGUUUCAGCAAUUUUCAGAUCUAUUUUUUCUUUGCCUGACUUUUCAGAUACCGAGGCCCACCGUUGUGAAAGUAAGAGAUUUUUCAAUGUGAUUGGUACACAGGGUAGUACAUCACGUGUUAUUAUACAAAUGGUGGGAUAUGUGUGCUAAAAAGUUAAUAACUUAAAAAAUAAAAUUUCUCAUCACUCCUAUUCCCCAUCCCAUGCCCUCCUAUAUUUUGUUAUUACGGUUAAAUCACGUCAACAUUUUAUAUUGAUUUUUGUUAUAGAAAUAAUAAGACAAAAAUUAAUAAGAAUAUAAAAUAUUGACGUGGCUUAACUGUGACCACAGAAAUAGGAGGGCAUGGGGAGGGUAUGGGAUGGAGAGGGCAGACAAUCCAAGUCCCCCCAUUAAAACAUAUGAUGUAUCACUUAUGUUCCUAUUACAAUUAAAAAUUUCUCGCAAGAAUCUUUUAAUGAAAAGAAAACGAGCAACGUGUCACUCUAUUAUUGGUUUGGUAUUCCGGGUCUGCUUGGGUUCUGUGUAGUUUAAAAAAUUUAUCUUCAAAGUGGCGAGAAAUUUUUUCUUAUGUGAAUAACAUAAGUGGUGCACAACAUGUUAUUAUAUAAGUAGUAAGAAAUUUAAUUUUUUAACAUAAGAAUCUCAUCACUUAUAUAGAGACACGUUAUGUACCAUCUUGUAUUCCGAACACAUUAAAAAAUCUUUCCAAAGUGGCAUAGAGUCGUGAAGAUUUGGCUUAAAAAUUUGGUUUAUAAAAUUUGGUUACAAAUUUUGAUUUAAAAAAUUGGUCUCUUUAACAUUACCCAUUGCAAAAAAAUUGACUGAAUUGUCCAAUCUACAAUUAAUAUGUUUGAAACUAGCUUUGACCUUUCAAGUUAUAUAGAUCUAUAAAACGAAGCAUCAGCUAGCAUUCAUAAUACUCAAAGUGAAAUAGAUACUUUGGGAAGAAAAAAAAAAGUGAAAUGGCUGGAAACCUCUCUUAAAAAAACUUUGCUAGCUAGCUUAGCUCAACCAUUGGAGAACUCCCAAAGAGCGCAAUAUCAAUAUGGCACUUUGGAUUUGGGCAACAAUUGGGGUACUUGCCCUUGUUCGCAUCGUGCAAGCAUGCAUAUCAAAAAGCAAGAACAAGAUGUUACCUCCUGGUCCGAGAGGGUUUCCUAUUUUUGGCAGCCUCCAUUUGUUAGGGAAGUUCCCUACCAUGGAUCUUCGUCAACUAGCCCAGAAAUACGGUGACAUCAUGUACUUGAGGUUAGGCCUCCAGUAUACCGUCGUUGUCUCUUCCGCACGAGCGGCCGAGCUGUUCCUCAAAACACACGACCUUAAUUUCGCAAGUAGACCACCUAAUGAAGGUGCAAAGCACCUCAUCUUUGGGCAAAAAAGCUUGAGCUUUGCUGAGUAUGGCUCGUAUUGGACCAACAUGCGAAAGAUUUGCAUGCUCGAAUUACUUAGCAACCAAAAGAUCAACUCUUUCAAGUCCAUGAGGAGAGAAGAGGUUGCUCUCUUGAUAAAAUCUGUUCAAGAGGACACCAAUAAUCGACGCAUUGCUAAUCUCACUGACAAGGUCAUGUCGCUCGGGAUUGACAUGACCUGCCGGAUGGUGUUUGGGAAGAAGUACAAGGACGAGGAGUUUGGCGGGAGGGGUAUCGUGUCUGUGAUGAAAGAGGGUUUGAAACUAGCAGCAGCACCUAACUUGGGAGAUUUCUUUCCUUGUAUUGCACCGCUUGACCUGCAAGGGCUCACCAAAAAAAUGAAGGCUGUUAACAAGGUGUUUGAUGAUUUUUACGAGAAGAUUAUUGACAAGCAUCUUCAAUCCAAGGAUGCAGAAAGAACGAAGGACUUUACUGAUGCCAUGCUGUCAUACAUGGGGUCUGAAGAAUCGGACUACCGAAUUGAACGCUUGAAUAUCAAAGCCAUGAUGUCGGUAAGUUUACGUAUCAUCAUUUUACAUAUUUGUCUUUUCAAUCUUGCUUGACUUCAAAUUAAAACGAAAUUGUUUCUUGUUACACAAUUUAGCAUGACGUGGUCUCAGAUUGUGCUUUUGAACCAUAAGGUCAAUGUUUGUUUGAAUAUACAAGAUUGAUUAUUGAUGAUACAAAUUUGUGAUUUAUCAUGUACAUUAAAUUGUCAUGUACAUGUGUCACGCUACUAUAUAUACUUCAUCUAGCAAUGGAAAAUUUAUUGGCAGGACAUGUUAGUGGCCUCAGCGGACACAUCAUCAACAACAGUCCUGUGGGUGCUCUCGGAACUCAUGAGGCAUCCACAGGUUAUGAAGAAAGUCCAAAAGGAGUUAGAAAAUGUUGUAGGUCUGAAUAGAAUGGUGGAGGAAUCAGACACGGAGAAAUUGGAGUAUUUGGAUAUGGUAGUGAAGGAAACCAUGAGGCUACAUCCUGUGUUACCAUUGUUGCUUCCUCAUGCAGCCAUCGAAGAUUGCACUGUCGAUGGCUACCACAUACCGAAAAAGUCAAGCGUUAUCGUAAACGUGUGGGCAAUCGGGAGAGACCCAAUCGCUUGGGGAGAUGCAGAGAAGUUCGUACCAGAGAGGUUUGAGGAUAGCAAUGUUGAUGUUAGAGGACACCACUUUCAGAUUCUACCGUUUGGCUCUGGCAGAAGACGUUGCAUUGGAAUGCAGUUAGGGAUUACUGUGGUACACUUUGUGUCGGCUCAGCUUGUGCAUUGUUUUGAUUGGGAACUUCCAGAUAACAUGUUGCCAAAUGAGUUGGAUAUGACUGAGGAGUUUGGUCUUGCAGUUUCAAGGGCCAAGAAUCUGCUCGCUAUUCCUUCGUAUCGCCUUCAGAAUUGAUCAUGGAUGUUGUGGACUAGCUAUCUUUUCUGUUUUUUUUUGUUUUUUUUUCUACUGUCUUACAUUUGUUUUCUUCACUUGUUGAGGAGAACAAAUAAUGGUGAAAAUUAAAUAAAUUUGUGUGAAAUUUUCAAUAAUGAAAAGUCGAGUAUGUAACAACCUUAUCAAGACGCUACUCCAACUCUUAUGAACGGAAGUUGGUUUUUCACACACCUUUAACAUUUUCUACACCACUCUAUUUUUUGAUCAUCCAAUUAAAUAAAUCAAACAAAAACAACGACCAUGAUUAAAUAGGAGUGAAUAGAAGAGAAAAAGGGCUCCUUACAAAAAUACCAAAGAUGUGCCAUUACUGUAAUUCACUUUAUGGAAAACUUCAUUUUAAUCCCUAAAAAAGAUUACGUUUUUAAUAGUACCAUAUGUAAGAUGAAAAACUAAAAAUAGUCAUUUGACUCGUGUCCACGUCAGCUUAUAUACUGCAUGUCAGAUUUAAUUACUUUUUAUGAAUUUACUGCAUUUUUGGUUUGCCUAUAUUACCCAUUUUAAGGGAUUCAAACACAAAAACUUGAAAAACAUUUUGUAAAGGGACUUUUAGAGAUAAGGGCUUGUCAAAGAUGAUUUUUAGAAUAUAACAUGAAGGGUUUUCAAUGUCUAAAAAAGAUUAAUGCACCAUGACAAGUCACUUAUAAUAAAACCAUAAAUUUUACUACUAUUUACAAGAAGGCCAAAUCGGAUAAAGGAUCCCUGUGGUCAUAAGGUAUUCGGAAGAUAGCCCCUAUGCUAAAAAAAUCGGAUUUAAACCCCUGUGGUGUACUCCGUUAGCAAAUUUAGUCCAAAAAUAAUUUUUCUGUUAACUAUCUGUUAAUACAUGGGUAAAAUUGUACUUUGACGUGUGCAUCUUCUUCAUGCAUCUCCCCUACACAACCCCCAAACUCACUUCGCGCAAAAGAAAAAGGAGAGACCAUUUUCAGUUUUCCACAGAGCUACCACCGCAACCAUGGCGGCCACCAUGUCUUCUCUUUUUCUUGCGCGAAGUGCGGAGGAGGAGGAGGAGGAGGAGGUCUCGCCGAAGCUCUCUCACUCUGGAACCAUGGGUACCACUCAAACCCCCCUGUCUCUCUCUCUCUCUUCCUCCCACUCUCUCUGUAUGUGUGUCAUUGGUUUUGUAUAUGUGAUAAUAUGCAAGUAUCUCACGUGACUCGAUGCACAAGUGUCGUGCUACUGGAGGCAAGAAGAAUGCAUGGAGGAAGAAGAGAAAGUAAUGCUUUCUGCCUUCAACCCUAUUUCUCUCUCUGCUUUACUCUUUGAUUGCUUGUUAAUUUUCCUUCAUUUCUAUUAUUUUCCCUUUGUAAUAUUUUUUUUAUUGAUUUGUUAUGUUGUAAUUAGGCGACAGAUCUGUUGUUAAUCGUAAAUUAUUUCUGGGUUUUUUGUUGUGGAUAAAAGGUGAGGUCUCACCGUAUCUUCUUUUUCUUGAAAAUGGUCUCUCCUUUUUCUCUUGCACGAAGUGAGUUUGGGGGUUGCGUAGGGGAGGUGCAGGAAGAAGAAGGUGAACAUGUCAAAGUACAAUUUUAUCCAUGUAUUAACAGAUAGUUAACGGAAAAAUCACUUUUGGACUAAAUUUGCUAACGAAGUACACCACAGAGGUUUAAAUCCGAGUUUUUUUUAGCACAGGGGCUAUCUUCCGAAUACAUUAUGACCACAUGGAUCAUUUAUCCGAUUUGGCCUUACAAGAAUGUCAUCCUUACUGUCUACAAUGUAACCUCCACCAUCAAAAUUUGAAAAAUGUAACGGUUACAUCAUUAUCACUCAUAAAAGUAACCUCCAUCUUCAUUGUCUGAAAAAUACCAUCUUUAUUGUCUAUAACUACCUACUUUUUGUUUUUUGUUUUGUUUUUUAUUUUUUAUUUUUUAUUUUUUAUAUUUAUUCAAAUUUGAUAUUGUGUGGAGAAUGCACUAAUUUAUGUCCGAUAGUUUUGGUACGGCCAAUUAAGUACGUUAUAUAGUUCAGGUUCGACAUAUUCGACAUGGUCAAUUUGGUACGAUUUGUAUUUUUUAUGUUUUAGUUCACUAGGUACGACAGAUUAGGUCCGAUAGAUUAGGUUCAAUAAAUUGGGUAUGUUAUAAAGUUUAGGUCCUAUCAAUUCGGUAUGGUUAAUUGGGUUGUGAUUUCACAUUCCAUUUUCUCUACAUACAAAAUUGUUCUUUUCAUUUAUCUCCGGAUUCAUUUUUAAUUUAUUGAAUCCAAAACUAUAAAAAUAAAAAAGAAUACAUUGAGACUGUAGGUACACUAUAUUGUUCUACGUACAAAUUGUUCAUUUAGGUACUGUCAAUUAGGUUUCAUUCAGUAAAGUCGGUUAGGUACUAUAUAGAGUAGGUCUGAUCAAUUCGGUAUGGUCAAUUAGGUUGACAUUCCAUUUUCUCUAUUUGUAUUGUUUUAAUUUUUUUCAUUUAUUUCUAGAUUCACCAUCAAUUUGGCAUCUAAAAGCCUUUUUUUUUCUUUUUUUCUUCCGAAUACAACGAGAUUUUUGGUUUUUGAAUUUCCUAACUUUUUUUGUUUGAUCAUGGUUUCUGAGUUAUCUGGGUUCUUUGAUUGGAAUAACACAUGGAGGUUUAUGGUAAUGACCAUAAUGUUAUUGUUAUAACGAACAUGUUAAUUAUGGAUCUAGUUAAUUAAGCAUUCUUGGAAAAUUAAUUAUAUAUUUGUUUCUCUAAUAGGUUUUAAGAGAGUAAUAAGGGUAAAUAGGGAAACUAAAAAUGCAACAAAAUUUAUAUAAAAAAAAUAUUGAAUUAGACAUUAUACCUAUACUAAAAACCCAACGAUGUUGCACUGUUCACGGACAGUGCGCGGACCAAAAUGCCCCUCAAUUCUUUUGUUAAGCCACUUUUUUGCCAUCUUUUCUACAGUAAAAUGACUUCCUUGCCCUCUGACGCCACGCGUUUAUCAUCCCCGGUUUCGAUUUCUUUGGAUGCUUCGGUUUCUCUCUCCACCUGUCAACCAUCGCUGUGUCUUCUGACAUCUUCCCUUGCUUUUCACUCUUUUUGCUUCUGAUGUUUUUCAUUCGUUCUCCUCUAAUUUCCGUUCGAUUGUUUGGCUUUCGUGGGUUUCGUUUCCUUUGCUCUCUCUCUCCCUGGUGCCUGUGUUGGUUUCUGUUGUUGUUGAUCUGUGUUCUCUCAUGUCUUGCUCUUCUAUCACCUUAAAGCUUUCCGGUGAGUUAUUCAAAACUUGAAUGUGGGAGGUUUUUUUUUUUUUUUUCCAGAUCUAUGGGUUUUAUUCUCUUCAAUUUUAGAUGUUAAGAAUUGAUUGUUUAUUUUGGUGAGAUAUUUUAUUAGCAUUUGUUAUGUGUUCAGAUCAAGGAUUGAAUUGGGUUUGGGAGUUUUAAUUUAUGAUUUUUUUUGUUCAAAUUUUUAGUUACAGGAAUUUUUAAUUAGUUUGUGUUCUGGGUUUCAGAUUUUUCGAAAAUUUCACUGUAUUUCGCAGAUUGGAGUCUUCUGUAACAAUCGGAGCUGUUGGGAUUUUGAAAAAAAUGGGAGUAAUUUUUCUUUUGGGUUUCGUCUCUCUGGUAUUUAUACUGAACCCAAAACCCCAAAAGAUUUGAACUUUCUGGUAAAUUAAUUUACCUUUUUCUGAUUUUUUUUUCUUUUUGGAGAAUUUUUGUAAAUUGCUGCCAUUGUGUUAUGAAUUAGGAGAAAAACAGGGUUUCAGAUGCAAAGGACGAGAUGGUUAUGUGUGUUUUGUGUAAUUCAUGAUAUUGUAUGAAGUUUGGGUUGAGGUAUCAAUUUACUUGGAAAUGUAUAUAUACAGGUUGAAUAUGCCAUUUGAGAAACUAUGGUUUAUUCCUAUGUUUGGUAAUUAUUUUCAUAUUAUUCUGGAUUCGUUUAAGUUGCAGUUUGCACCAUUGGAAGAUGUUUAUCCAAUUCCAAGUAUCUAAUUGAUUUUGUACCAAUAUACAGUACUCAAAUGGCGUUCUAAGAUUCAUAUAGCCGAUCCCACUCAGUGACUUGGAUUUUCCAAGUCUCCAACCGAGAAGUUUUCCUCACUCGGGAAAUUAAGGAAACACUACCCCAACCUACAUGCUCCACUCAGAAAGCUUCAACAUACAAGCUUCAACAAAAGAAAAUUCAAAGAACUUAGCGAAGAAGGCUUUGGUGUAUUUAACAGAAUACGUUGAAAUGAAGGAAAGCUUAUUUAUUGAUAUCCCCGAUCAGCUACAAAUAUGUACAUAUACAUGAGUCAAAAUAAACACACAAGACGGAGCCUUCACAAAGGUUGCUUAGGAGAAGUCUCAGCAGUCGGUAGAGCCCCAGAAAGAGAAGGCACCGGAGGGGGAUCAUUUGGAGCCUCAGUACUGGACAGAACCCUAGAAGGAGGAGGCAUCAGAGGUUGAUCAUUCGGAGCUUCAUUACGCGGUACAGCCCCAGAAGACGAAGGCAAUAAAUGCCUUUGGAACAAACCCACAAAUCUCUGAUGAUCAAGUAAAACCUGACCAUCAGUUUCCUUCAUCUGGUCAAGCUUCCUCUUCAUGUUUGUAGCAUAGUCAUGUGCGAGCCGGUGCAACUGUUUAUUCUCAUGCUUGAGCCCUCUAAUCUCCUGUUUGAGACUCAUCACUUCAGCCGCCAAGGAUUCAACUUGGCGGGUUCGAGCAAAUAGGCGUUGGGCCAUAUUAGACACAGAACCUGCACACUGAACACUGAGAGCCAGCGAAUCCUUAACAGCUAACUCAUCAGACCGUUUGGAAAGUAGUCUGUUAUCUUUGGGAGUGAGAAGGUUCCUGGCCACCACCGCAGCGGUCAUAUCAUUCUUCAUCACGGAAUCCCCAACGGUAAGAGGACCAGUAGGGGAGACGAAGGAUGGGCGCCAUAUGUUGUCUGGAGAAGGCGGGGCUGCCUCUUCAACAAGGUUCAAGUCAAAACGACGGUCGGAGGGGCCAGACAUUUUCAAAGGUGUUGAAGAGAGAAGAGGUCGGACAAAUCAAGAUCUUAGAAGUGCAAGAAUGAAGCUUCUACUGGUGGAGAUUCAAGUGUGCUUUGGAACUUAAUGCCAGCCUCUAUAAAAAUCUGCACUCGACGGAGCUUCAGAAAGCGAAGAGGCGCCUGCUCAGAAAUCGAAGAGGCGUUUGCUUUCUCAAAAGCUGGGCUGCUUAGAGAUCACGAGGGUUGAUCUCAGAAAUCAAAGAGGCGUUUGCUUUCUCAAAAGUUGGGCUGCUCAAAGACCAUGAAGGCCGAUCUCAGAAAUCGAAGAGGCGCUCGCUUUCUCAAAAGCUGGGCUCCCCAGAGACCACGAGGGCCGAUCUCAGAAAUCGAAGAGGCACCUACUUUUCCAGCCUUGUCAGCACCCGUCACACGCACACUCAGCUUUGCAGAAAUUAUGGGCAUUCUGUCGAAGACUUCUGGGGAAGUAGAAAACACAUGAAUCUUACUGUUCAAUCACCCACUUCCCACACGCAACAAUAGCUCAUGGGUACCACAGAUAACUUUGCCAAAGUUCUCUGCCAAAGUUGAGCACGUGAAGCUUGCAGCUCCCACUACAUCGCUCUGACCAAGAAGGGUAAAAGAAUAGCAAAGAAACAGCACCAACAAAGUUUAGACCCAUAAAUUUUGAAGGUCUAGCUACCAUAUUAUUACCCACAAGGGUAAAGGAACAGUACCACUGCUGGAUAAUUGGAAAGUCCCUGUGUGUCAACCUUUGUGCUUCGUGGCAAGGUAGACUAGCAAACAUGCCCAACCUUUACUCACAUUCGAGAAAACACUCCCAAUAAGAUUGCUUGCUCCAAAAUCGAAGAGGCACCGUCCUCCGAAUCUCGAGAGCCAGACUCCCAACGUGACUACUUUCUUAAAAAUCGAAGAGAGGGUAAAGGAACAGUACCAUUGCUGGAUAAUUGGAAAGUCCCUGUGUGUCAACCUCUGUGCUUCGUGGCAAGGUAGACUAGCAAACAUGCCCAACCUUUACUCACAUUCGAGAAAACACUCCCAACAAGAUUGCUUGCUCCAAAAUCGAAGAGGCACCGCCCUCCGAAUCUCGAGAGCCAGACUCCCAACGUGAUUACUUUCUCAAAAAUCGAAGAGACACUGCUCCCUGAAUCUUCGAGAGCCAGACCCCCAGCAUGAUUGCUUUCUCAAAAAUCGAUGAGGCAUCGUUCUCCGAAUCAAUCGAAGAGGCGCUCGCUUUCUCAAAAGCUGGGCUGCUCAGAGACCACGAGGGCCGAUCUCAGAAAUCGAAGAGGCACCUACUUUUCUAGCCUUGUCAGCACCCGUCACACGCACACUCAGCUUUGCAGAAAUUAUGGGCAUUCUGUCGAAGACUUCUGGUGAAGUAGAAAGCACAUGAAUCUUACUGUUCAAUCACCCACUUCCCACUACAUCGCUCUGACCAAGAAAGGUAAAAGAAUAGCAAAGAAACAGCACUAACAAAGUUUUAGACACAUAAAUUUUGAAGGUCUAGCUACCAUAUUAUUACCCACAAGGGUAAAGGAACAGUACCACUGCUGGAUAAUUGGAAAGUCCCUGUGUGUCAACCUCUGUGCUUCGUGGCAAGGUAGACUAGCAAACAUGCCCAACCUUUACUCACUUUCGAGAAAACACUCCCAACAAGAUUGCUUGCUCCAAAAUCGAAGAGGCACCGUCCUCCGAAUCUCGAGAGCCAGACUCCCAACAUGACUACUUUCUCAAAAGCGAAGAGAGGGUAAAGGAACAGUACCAUUGCUGGAUAAUUGGAAAGUCCUUGUGUGUCAACCUUUGUGCUUCGUGGCAAGGUAGACUAGCAAACAUGCCCAACCUUUACUCACAUUCGAGACAACACUCCCAACAGGAUUGCUUGCUCCAAAAUCGAAGAGGCACCGCCCUCCGAAUCUUGAGAGCCAAACUCCCAACAUGAUUACUUCCUCAAAAAUCGAAGAGACACUGCUCUACGAAUCUCGAGAGCCAGACCCCAGCAUGAUUGCUUUCUCAAAAAUCGAAGAGGCAUCGUUCUCCGAAUCUCGAGAGCCAGAUACCACAGACCACUUUUUCAAAGUGCUCUGACAGAGUUAAAACAUGUGAAACUGGCAACUCCCACUACCGUGCUAUGACCAAGCAGGGUAAAGGAAUAGCAUUACUACUUGUUGUUAGGGAGACUCCUAUAUAUGUCGACCUCCAUCCCUAACGGACAGGCAGACCUGCAAAAAUGCUCAACCCUUCAUCAUAUCUGAGAGGGCACUCCCAACGAAGCCUUUCGAAAUAUUCAGCUUUCUUUCCCCCCGAUAAUACCUCUGCAAACAAGUUAUACUAGAGCAAGAAUAUCUCAUAUCAUCAGGGUUAAAAGCAAGAGUAUCCCAUAUCAUGCUUUUUCCCUGUCUUUUCCUUUGGCCUUGUUUUUACCUGCAAGACAAGGAGAAAGAGAGCAAUCAGUCAGCACUUGGAAUCAAGCUUCCAGCCAGGAACUGACUGCCUGGAACCCCUUACCUGAUUACUUACCUGGCAUUGCUCUCGAGUACUCAUCUUCAACAUCUUAUGUUUCCAGGGAAGAUUCCGCAUCUGCUUGAGGAACAGAUAGGGCAAGUGCGAAGGAUACAAGGAAGCAUGUGGAGACAAGCGUAACAGCACACGUGCCGAUACAUCCAUUACUCUGUCAAAAGCAAAAGUAUCCCAUAUCAGCAGGGGUGGAACGUACUCUAGAUUUGAUGGACUUGUUUUGACCCUCAAAUUCUUCAGUCGGCCUUAUACUCUGGAGGAAACCAGAAAACCCUCCAGCUCAGUUCAAGAAUAAGCCUGUGGAAAGUUACUUCUUCAAAAGCAAAAGUAUCUCAUAUCAUCUCUUCUCAUUUUCUUCUCUUUAUCCUUCAUGCUGCUGCAAGAUGGGAGGAGAAGGUGAACAAUCAGUCGGAGCUCUGAUUGCUUACCUUGUCUGUCACCUCUUUCAGCAGACCCCCUAGCUCGGCGACUUGGGGGACUCCUACUACAUGGUUUGUAUCGCGCUUGACCAAGCCUGAGACUACAAGUAAGCUUCAAGUGAAAUUGAUACAUUACCUUGUGCAUCUCCACCAGUUAAAGAUACCACCCCUGGAUGGAGGAAGAGUACUUCCAGAGAAGAUGCCACGUCUACCUAUGAGACAGAUAAGGCAAGUCAAGACGACACCACACUCCGAUACUUAGAAGUUUCGUGAUUACGAGAUCAUUCUCCCACAAUAUUUCCUAAUGUCACUUGUACUAAAUCAUUCACUUUUACUCACUAAAGGAGAGCUUGAACCUAUGUACUUGUGUAAACCCUUCACAAUUAAUGAGAACUCUUCUAUUCCGUGGACGUAGCCAAUCUGGGUGAACCACGUACAUCUUGUGUUUGCUUUCCUAUCUCUAUUCAUUUAUAUACUUAUCCACACUAAUGACCGGAGCAAUCUAGCGAAGAUCACAAAAAGCGACCGUUUUCGCUACCUAGGAUCUAUCUUGCAAGAGAACGGAGAAUUAGAUGGAGAUCUCAACCAUAGAAUACGAGCUGGAUGGAUGAAGUGUAAGAGUGCAUCCGGCGUGUUGUGUGACCGUCGUAGGCCACUGAAGCUCAAGGGAAAAUUUUAUAGGACGACAAUAAGGCCAGCGAUGUUGUAUGGCACAGAAUGUUGGGCGGUGAAGCAUCAACACGUACACAAAAUGGGUGUAGCGGAGAUGAGGAUGCUUCGUGGGAUGUGUGGGCACACGAGAAAGGAUAAGAUUGGGAAUGAGGAUAUCCGAGGUAAAGUAGGAGUAGCCGAAAUUGUAGGAAAGAUGAGAGAAAAUCGGCUCCGAUGAUUUGGACAUGUGCAAAGAAGGUCGACUAACGCUCCGGUUCGAAGAUGUGACUACGGGACAGAGGUUCAGGGCCAAAGGGGUAGAGAAAGACCUAGGAAAACUUUGGAAGAGACUCUAAGAAAAGACUUAGAGUACUUGGAUCUAACGGAGGACAUGACACAAAACCGAGCGCAAUGGCGUUCUAGGAUUCAUAUAGCCGACCCCACUUAGUGGGAAAAGGCUUUGUUGUUGUUGUUGUAUACAGUACUCAAAUGCUCUCAACGAAUACCCGCUUUCUCCCUCUCUCAUGAUGAUUGCUGCGUAUUACCAGGCCGAGAGAAGGGGAGAAUCCAGCCUUCCCAAACUUCGCAUGCCUUCUUGGCUAUGGAGGAUCAACUGGUGCAAUUGAAAUUCCUUAUAAAGUUUGGUAAUUAUUAUUGACAUGGUGUGACGUUUGCUAUUAACUACGCUGAAAUAUUUGAGAAAUGUAGAGUAAACAAAAGAGAGAAGGAAUUUUAGAGAUAGAAUGAUAUAAUAAUUGCUCUGUAAUUGUAUGAUGAAUUAAGUAAUCAACAGAGAGAGAGAGAGAGAGAGAGGGAGAGAGAGAGAGAGCUAGCAACUUAUACAACAACAAAUCACCUCGCUUAGCUCUCACGACACAUACUCAACAUGCUAACAAACACUAACCUCUAAACUGAUCUGCUGAGCACCUCUGUUUAUGUACCCACCACUCAUCUUUUGGCACUAAUCAAUAUUUGCAAAAUCUAGAGUUGCAGAAACCCCAUUUUUAAUGAAUAUUAUUUUUAGUUGAUAAUUAAUUGAUGAUUAAUCUAUUCAUUGUGCAUUAUUUUAUCACCAAAUACUUUGAAUAUUCAUUAGCAAAAGAUAUAGGGUUCACUAUUUAAUGAAUAGAAUUUUGAUGCUGGAUUGCAUUUCCUGAGUUAUAGAUGUGGUAAAUCCAUUAUUUAAUAGCUGAAUAAUCAUAAUGUUUUGGCCACUUAUCUUGAAUUUUGUUCAAAUUGGAGAAGUCACAUGUUUCUUAAAUGGAAACCUGUGUUAUUUGAAUUUGGCUUUUACACUCGAAGUCAAACUGACUCUAGCUUGAACUACAUUUGUAAAUCCCGUGUUGUGCAAAUUACUUUACACAGCAUGACCUGCAUUUCUAACUGUUUGCUGCUCUAUACAUUAAAGAUAGUGUACAUCAAUUUACUCUUUGUAGUGUAUGUGACUGUGAUCUUGAAUAUUUGAUAUUCUUUGAGAUUUUCAGCAUUCAGGUUUUGAAUAUUUGCUUUCCAUGUUUGAAUAUUUUGUUCAUUCAGUUUCAAGUGUUUUCUUUUUGUGUAUAAGAAUAUCUCAGUAACUCAUUGUUCUUUAUUUCCUCUAGGUUGUGAUGGUCGCUAUUUUUCAAAGGAUGCUGUUGAAUUUCAAGAUUGAAACCGCUGGCUUUCAAUCUUUUUAAACAAGUUACCUUUGUAAGGUAUCAAAACUAUAAUUUUUCUGUACAGCUAAGACUUUGGAUUUAGUCAAAUUAGGUGCUCAAUCAGUUGAUAUAAUGCCAUUUACUUGCUUUUUUAUUUAUUCCUUACCUUUUGUUAUUGUGAUGUAAUUCGGUAAGUCAUUCUUAUUGGGCGGUUAUAUUUUUCUCAUAAUUUUGUUUGACAUUAUUAUUUAAUCAAGGACAACACUGUUUAUAAUAAAAAACUGAUUAAAUAAACCAUGUAAAGAAAAGUUGUUUUUAAUUUAAGAGCAGUGGGUUGCAAGGUAGAUAUAAAAUGUUAAGGUGGGAUAAAAUUGAAGUGGCAAGGGUGGGGAAAAUAUUUAUAAUUUGUGGUAGAAAAACAGAAGAAAGAUGGAUUGACCUCAUCUGGAUUUAUUUAAUUUUUGUUUUAAAAAAAAAAUUGAUUCAGGAUUUACAUGGUAAUUUGUGUUGUGAUUUAAGGAAUUCUGUGUAUUAUGAUCUGUGAGUUUAAUUACUCAUCAUUUUUUUUUAUCUGUUUGUUUUGCAGGUUGUCUUUGUGUUAGAAUUGCAACAGUUUAUGCAACUUUUCAAUCUUUAAACUGUUUCAGGGUAAGAUUUAGAUAACAAUAUAGUUGGCUGAAAAUUUGAAAGAAUGUGCUGGCUUUGUUUUUGCUGAACCCAAGCGUUUGUUUUCUUUUUUGUUAACUAAUUUGAAAGCUGUGCAUAGACGGUCAACUGUGGCCAGAUCUCUUGAUAAAGCAUAUGCACCGAAUUGGAAAUAUCAAAUUAUCAAAAAUGAACCAAGUUGGUUUAUAAUAGCAAAAUGUUUUCCAAAAUAGUAGAAUGUGAACAAAUAUAUAAUAAAGAGCAAGUGGAAAAACGAUACUUACCAAUAUUGACAAUGGAUUUUUUGGAGAGAAUGUUAUACACAGUAUUUUUAUUGCCCCUAUUUGUAUCUUGAAUUUUGUAAUAGGUAUAGAUAAAGAUGUGAUUGUCCUAUAUAUAUUUUGGUAAAUCAUUUUUCUUAUAUCCUUCUGUUAUCAUGCUUGCUCUGGAUUCUACAGGUUUUUUCAAAGUUUAUUUGGUUGCUGGAAAAAAACUGUGAAAUGAAGGGCUUCAGAGUUCGAUCAUUUGUGCCUCAAAAUUGGUAAGGUUUCUUUCCCCUAUAUAAUUUUGAUUGGUACUUAUAGAUUUUCAUCAUAAAUUAUUGUAUUCUCUUGUAAAGAAGUUCAUUUUUGACACUUAUGUAAACUUUAACACCACUUCACCAGAUAACUUAAAUUUGUUUUGUUUGAUCAUUAUGUUAUAAUAUUCUAUGUGGUUAUAAGUUUGAAAAAUGUGGGGAGACGGAUCAGUUAUGAACAAAUUAGCAUGGUUCAUCCUAAUGUUAUAUAAGUUAGGUUGCUGAUUUGUUUCCUCAUCUCUUCAUUGGUGAUUUGUGUUUUCAGUGACCUUCCAUUCUUGGGUAAUAAGUUUUUGUGAAGAUAAUGUGUUCAGUUCUUUUUUUUAAAUUUCUGUUAUGUGUGGUUCUAUGUCAUGUGAUUAGAGGUUCCAAAAUAGAAACAUUACUUAUUUUAUUUGGUCAGAGUGGGGAGGAAGUUCUGUUCAAUUUUGGUUUUUCCAAUGGCUUAGGAAGAAAUUAUGUCACUAUUGGUAUUGCAGUUGUCCGCUUGCAUAAAUUACAAGGUAUGCUACAAUCUUCUUUGGUAGAUUUGAUUCAAAUUGAUAGAUUUCGGUGAGAAAGAAACUUUUAUCUUUUCCUUCAGUUAAGGACUCUUAGGACUUCAAAUUUGUAAAAGAUGUGAAUAUUAGAACAAUGGCAAUGUAUGUGAAUAUUAGAACGAUGGCAAUAGAACUGCCAACCCAUAUGGAUUGUAAACAGAUUUCAACAUAUAUCUAAAUAGUAUUGCAUAUCGUAUGUAUUUAGAGCUUUUCACAUAUUUUAUAGUUUUAACACCCACAGCAUCGCGCGGGCACCGUUGCUAGUGGAAUUCUGUAAUCUGAUGAUAGGAGCAUAUUUAUGCGACUUAGUUGGUUUGUUCUUGUGCAUUUAUGUCGUGUUUCCUUAGUUAUUUUAAUGUUUAAAGUCAUUUUCGUGUGUUUUCAGAUUUUAUGGACAAAGUAGGCAAGAAGAUGCAUUUUGGAGCAAAAUGGAGCUUGGAAUGCAUGUCACAUAUUUGGGCCAAAGUGGAUGGACGAAUUUGAGAACUAAAGAGGCCAAGAAUGUGAAGAAUUAUGGUCCAAAAAAUGAAGAACUCAGCCCAAAAAUUUGUCACCCCAACUUGCCUUCAUUGCCAUGCAAAACAACAUAGAAUUCCCUUUGGAUUCCCAUGCCAUGCUUGAUCACUUUUGUCCCCUACAUAAUUUCUGAUUUCAUGCUUCAAUUCAUUUAAUUAUUACACUUAAUUGCUAGAUACCUCUUGUUCCCUUCACCCACAAAAUUUUAUACAACUUUCACAACCAUAACAUGCACCAAUUGAUGCUCCAUCAUUCACAUUUGGAAUCUCAUGCCUUGUGUACCACAUGUUGCUGUACCUUUGACCCAUUUAUUGACACAUUUUCACCUCCCUUUCCAUCUCUAUGCAAUGUACACAAUCAUUCAUGCCCCCUAGCUACAAGACCACUCCAUUUUACCCUUCACACUUUGCAUCAUCACUUCAUUUUCACCCUUGGACCAUUGCACACCACAUACUCUUUGCCAUGCAUUCUACCUAGCCUAACCUGAUUCUCUAAGGUUUUUGGGGCCUAUAUAUACAUGUUUACAUCCCUUGGCAAAGGGUUCACACUCUCAUAUUCACCAUUCAUCACAGAAAUUCGUCCAUACUCACCCUAGGUAGCAAAACACCCCAAAAACACUAUUCUAGUGCCUAGAAAACAUAACAGUCACUCCACCUUCUUCCACCCUCAUUGCCUAGCUUUCCACCACCCUCCAACCCUCAAACACUCCUCCACACUUACCCUAAACCUUUCCAUACCAUUUCCCAUCCAUUCUACAUCAUAAAACUACCCAAAAAAACUGUCCACAAAGCAAUCUGCCGCAAGCAAGGGAAAGGAUAAUUCUUGGAUGCACUUGUUGCCAAGUUGAAGCAUUUUAGGUGUUUUCUUUCCUUUGAUUUUAAUGUCUAAUUUUAUGUAUCUUUGCUUUGUGAGUAUGAGGAACUAAACCCCUCUUAGUUAGGGGGUGAUUCGAAACUAUGUUCAUACUUGCAAUAUGAUUUGAUUACAUCCAGUUGUGAUUCAUAAGUUGUGAAUUCAAUUUACUUAUCCGAUCGUAUAAAAAAUGAUUUGUGUAUGUUGGUUGAGAGUGCACGCUUAAUUUUCAUGCAUGAAUUUAACGCUAGAAUAUAAGGGAGUUUCACCUAAUCGUUAUGAACUUAUAUUCACAAGUAGUGAAGGUUGCUAGUCACAAUCACGUUAAGUAAAUUCUUGGCAUAAGUUUCAUGCAAUUCAUAGUAACGAGUGCUUCGUCAAUGCUUAUGUUUUUCAUAGAACUUAAUGAUUCUUGCUUGUAUCUCUAUUAUGCAAUUCAUGUAGGGAACUUGUAGGGAAUGUUUUGAGUUGUCGUAUGCAAUCAUCCAACCCAAUAACUUGUGGAAAAACUGAGGGUUAAUUAGUGCAAUUCACGGUUAAUUUGAGGCGUUGAGUAUUCAUAGCUUAUCGAAAAGCAACUGGAAAUCGUUUUGUAUGCAAGUGUGACAUGUGUGGAGAAGAACCUCCUAGCUAGCCUUCCAUCCAUAAGUUUCAUUCAAAUUCAUUUUACAAUCUGUUUUGAUUCACUUAAAUUUGUCUAAGAAUUUGUUUACUUUGUUCUUGUCUUAAUUUAAUUAUUUUCGUCCAAAAUCAACCCCAUCUUAUUUCUUUGAGUCAUAUUAAUUAGAACUUGUCUUAGAUUAUGUUUUUAAGUGUUUUAGUUCAUUAGAAAACCAAAAUUCGUCCAAGUUUGUGUUAGAGUCCCAAAACUGCCCAGAUUGUGUGUUUAAGGUAGUUUUGAGUGUUUAGGGGCUGUUUUGAGUCUUUUGGUUUGUUUUAGUGUUUUAAAUUAUAGUUUUGCAUUCUUUGAGUCUAGUUAGUGUUUUAAACUUUGUUUUUACGUUUUCAAGUCAGUUUCCAAGUGAUUUAGCAAUCCCUCCUAAUCCCCGGCCUAGAACGACCCCUACUUACAUACUUUACUACAAUUGAUAAAAAGAGGGUUUAAUUUUGUGUGUUUAGUUAUUUUACGCAUCAUCUGACAUGGAGGACUAUUUUUAGUUUUUAAUCUUACGUACAAUAUUAUUGAAAAAACAAUCUUAUUUAGGGAUUAAAACGAAGUUUUCUAUUUUGUAAACCAUAAUUAAUGUAUAAGGCCUAACGAAUCAAUAAUGCAAAAAUUAUCGGACCUAAUGAACUAAAACAUAAAAAAUACAAACCGUACCAAAUUGACCAGACCUAAUGGACUAAAACAUAAAAAAUACAAAUUGUACCAAAUUGACCGCAUCGAAUCUAUCGGACCUAAUGAACUAAAACAUAAAAAAUACAAAUUGUACCAAAUUGAUCAUACCGAAUCUAGCGUUAAAAUUAAUGAGAUUCAUUAAUUUUGGAUUAAUUUUUUAAUUAACUUAUUAAUUAAAAAACGUUUUGAUUAAGAGACACAACUCUUAGAAAGAGUUGUGCAUUUUCAAAUACGAUGAACAAGUAUUUGAAAGGGUGUGAAACAACCUAUAUAAUUGCAAUCACAGUUUCCAAGUAGAAUCAGCUUUUCUUCCUCUUUUCUUCCUCUUUUUCAUCCUGUGUUCCUGACACAUUGAAAAAUCUCUUGUCCAAGAUAUCCUUGAAGUCUCCAAUUACAAGACGUGGGUCAUUUGCUCCCUGAAUCCUGCUGCCAAGAAUUCUCCAUUGGUCACGCCCUUUCUUCUCAUCUGUACUCGCAUACACUGCAAAUAAUCUCCAGGUUUGUUGUUUUUGUCCAUCCAUGAUAUGAGCUUCAAUAUGGAAGUUACACAAAAUUAAUGAAUUAGAAUGUAUAUCAUAAUAAAUUUAAAGUUUAAUGUGGAGUCAUUAGAUCGUUAACUAUUAAAACAAAAAUAUAAUAUAAAUUUGAAUUAAGUAUACAUUAAAGGGCUUAGGUUCGAUUCUCGCCAAAGACGGAUUUGAACCACAUUAUUGCUAACCUAUUGUGAGACAUAGCCCACUCCCUCAUCCCUUUACUAUAGAUAAUAUCAUUUGUUAAAAAAAAAAAAUUUGAUAUGUAAUCACCAGAUUUUAUUAAAUUUUAAUCUUCUUCAAGGAUUAAAGUUCAAAAACUCAUUUAAUUCUUAUGAUUUAGAACAUCUCUAAAGGAGAUGUCAUGCCAAUUCCUAAUCGAUAUGUAAUCAAACACCAUAUUUUAUUAAAUUUUAAUCUUCUUCAAGGAUUAAAGUUCAAAAAUCCAUUUAAUUCUUAUGAUUUAGAACAUCUCUAAAGGAGAUGUCAUGCCACAUAGGAAUUGACAUUUCGGUUGAAAAAAUCAUUAGUUUUUUGGGAAAACUUGAUAUAAGUCCAAUUUUUUUAGCCAAUAGUAGGAAUAGUCCAAUUUAUUAAAAUAAGUCCAAUUCCUUAAAUUUAAUUAUUUUAUUAUCAAGUUUCAGCAUGAAAUGAAUAUCGUACUUGAUUUCAAAAAAAAAAAAAUUAUUAUCAAUAAUUAUCUAUUCAAUGAUAAGAUUUAUUAUAAAAAUCAAAUUUCUUCCUAAUUAUCUCUUUGAUUAUUUCUUUUUAUUUUUAUUUUUUGUUAUUUCUUAUUCUUCCUCUUGCUUUAAACCCCAUUUAUAGAUUUUAUUUUUAAUUUUUAUAAUCAACCUAUAUCACAGGUUAAUUAUUUUUAUGUAUUUAUAUGACAGAUUCUUUUUUAUAAUCAACAUGUCACAAAUUAAUGUGUCUUGCUUGUAGGUAUAUUAUGUUUUUUCCUACCUUUUAGUUAGGUUUCAUAUCUCGCUUACAGGUAUAAUAUAUAUUUAUAUAUUUGUUACUUGAGUUAAGGUAGAAUGUUUUGUAGAUAAUUUAUGUUAGUAUAUUAGUUUUUGUUGUUGUAAGAUAUUAACUAGAUUUUUUAGAGUUGAAAAAUACAUAAUAUUAGAAGAUUUUAAUUGAUUUUUAAUAUUUAAAUAUAUAUAUAAAAUGAGUAUAAGAGAAAUAAAAACAUGUAAUUAGAUAAUUGGACUCCCUCCUAAAAAUCAUCUAUGUUUUUUGACCUAGAUCUAAAAACCCCUAGUUUUUUUUAUUGUUAUUGCUAAUAUGAACUUUUUUGACAUCUCAUUUGAAGAUGUUCUUAAGAUGUAUUACGAUUUUUUAUAAUUUUCAAUUUUAUCACAAAAUUGACAGAAUUUUCAAUUUUACAAUGUUGAUGUUAGAGGACACCACUUUCAGCUUGUACCGUUUGGCUCUGGCAGAAAACGUUGUGUUGGAAUGCAAUUAGGGAUUACUGUGGUACACUUUGUGUUGGCACAGCUUGUGCAUUGUUUUGAUUGGGAACUUCCAGAUAACAUGUUGCCAAAUGAGUUGGAUAUGACUGAGGAGUUUGGUUAGUAGUUUCAAGGGCCAAGAAUCUGCUCGCUAUUCCCUCAUUUCGCCUUCAGAAUUGAGCAUGGAUGUUGUGGACUAGCUAUCUUUUUUUUUUCUUUUUUUUUCUUUUUUUUUUAAUGCUGUUUACAUUUGUUUUCUUCACUUGAAGAGGAGAACAAGCACUGGUAUAAAUUAAAUAAGUUUGUGUCAAAUUUUCAAUAAUGAAAAGUUGAGUAUGUAUGUGAAAUCCCGUCUCUGGAAUUUCAUUAUAUAAUUACAUAUUUCAUUAUUUAAAUUCUUAUUUCGUAAUUAUGUGAUUUUUAUUUUAAACCAAAUUUCGUUAAUUUUAGAAUUUUAUUUACUUAGUUACAAAGUUUGAAUUUUUGUAAGCAAUCAUUUAAAAACUGUAAACCUUUAGUGUUCUCAAAUAGAGCUCAAUCCCACGAGAAUGCAGGUGAAAGCCGUUGGCGAAUCGGAACGAUAACGAAGAAGUUACGGACGUUAAAAGUUCGAUAUAAAUAAUAUAAAAACCCUGUUAUAAUAUAAUAUGUAGAUGACCCAUAUGAAUAGUUCCUUACUAUUCAUCUGUGGAAAAAUCACAUGGAUUACUAUUUUUGCAAAGUAAUUUCCCUAUUCCUUGGAAGAAGUUUGUGUAAAGUAAAUAGUAUUGCUACAUUAUUCAAUUAGAUGAAAAUCUCAUAAAUCUCAUAGGUCACUAGACCUAUUUUUCAAAAAAUAGACUACUCUUAAUAAUAGCUCACAAAAUUAAAUUUAUCCACAAAUUUGAUAUGGCAUUCGUGUCCCAGACAAUGACGAGUGAUGUGUGAUUUCAAAAUUCACAUACUACGUGUUUUUGUGGUUGUUGGAGUUUUAAAAGUAUACUGAAAUGACUGACGCACCAUUCCAUUGCCACUACAAAGCGAGGGCGAUCAACAGAAGAAAUCUAAAUUGUCGUUUUAGUCAACUAACCUUACGGUGGCACCUUGACCUUUCUACCAAUUUCUUUUUAUUUUCUCGACCAACAAUUAACAAGGUGUCAGGGCAUGCAACGUGAUUUAUUUUUUAUUUUUUAAUGAAAUGAUCACAGAGCGGCCUUAUAAUUUUUGGAAUGUGCUAUUCACACUUCUUUUUACUUUUCACACAUCUUUUGUUAAUUUCUUUCUGUUAAUUUUCUUCAAUCCAUCUGAUCUGAUGGUCGAAAACCAAAAAAAUAUGAAAGAAGUAAAAAAGGAUGUAUGGAUAUCACAUCCCUAUUUUUUAUGUCUAAGAAAAAUUGGAUCGGCCGAGGUGUCUAUAUGCCAAAUAUCUCGAAAAAUUUCGGGCCAAUGAGCAAGUCGCUCUGCUCGGCCCAAAUUUUAGCUCUUUAAUUAUUUUUAUUUAAAUAUAAAAAAUAGUAAAGUUGUUGAGAAUUAAAUACAAAACUUUUUGAAAUAAAAAAAAAAUUAAGACUUUUUAAUUUUAUUAGUUCUCAAUUACCAUUCCAAAAUAAUAUAUUUGUUUGGUUAAUAUAGCCAUUAUAUAAGUAUUGGAAAACAAAUAUUUCAGAUUAAGAACUUUUGACCCCAUCAAAACAACAACACUUAAUAAACAAAAGGCGUGUACAAAAGACAUCAAAUAAGUUUUUGGUCUUUGGAGUAAUAAUUUAAUGAGGUCUAAUAGCGUAUUGGAUGCGUUCAUUUGCCAAAAUGAGAAACAAUUUCAGAUAAAGAGCUUUUGACCUCAUAAUUACAACACUCCAAAAACAAAAAACAUGUACAAAUGACACAAAAUAAAACUUUGACUUUUUGAGUACUCAUUUUAUAUGGGUCUAAUGCAUAUUGGAUGUUUUCAGUUCCCAAACACUCAAAAAACAAAACACGUAUACAAAUGACACCAAAUAAGCUUUUGACUUUUUGAGUACUCAUUUUAAGGGUCUAAUAGCAUAUUGGAUUGUUCAUUUUCCAAAAUGAGAAACAAUUUCGGAUCCCAAACUUUUGAAACCAUCAAUUAAACAUCACUUCAAAAACAAAAAAAACGUCUACAAAUGACACCAAAAUAAGCUUCUAGCCUUAUGUGUACUUAAAUUACAUCAAAUCAUAUCGAGUCAGGCCUAAGAAUCGAACCUAAAAUGCAAAGCCAAAGCCCUAUCCAUUUAUAAUCGGGUAGCCUAAAGGCCAACCCUACGCCUGGGUCAAAAAAUUAGGGUUGGGCUGGCUAUCAAGCCUCAUCUCUUUUUAUAAGUCUAUCGGAUAGAGUCUUGGGUGUAUGCUAAUCUUGGUCGAGUUGAGAUUCUAUGUGCUGAAGUUUAGAGUGUUUUUAUUGGGUUGCAACUUGCGUGGAAUAAUGGAAUUGUUACAAAAAAAGAAUAAUGAAAUUAAAAAGAUUAUGGCAUAAUCGAAUUUUGCACUUGAAAUACAAUAGAUGUUAAAUGCAAAAGUGGAUAAUCACUCUUUGAAAAGUUAGUAUUGAUUUCUUGUGCUUUUAUGCAGUAGUUAUAGACUAUGAUUUUAAGAAAAUUUGACAAUAACAUAAGAAGUUUAUUUAUUUAUUUAUUUAUUUUUUUUUGUGGUUGUAGCAUUCUAUAAAGCAUACUGAAAAUGAUUGAAGCACCAUUCCAACUGUGCGGGCAAUCUUUGGUAGCAGUCAACAGAAGAAAGCCAAAGGAUAAUCACCCUCUGAAAAGUUAAUAUUGACUUCUUGUCCUCUUAUGCAGUAGUUAUAGACUAUUAUGAUUUUAAGAAAAUUUGACAAUAACAUAAGAAGGUUUUUUUUUUCCUUUUUUUUUGGGGGCGGGGGUUGUUGUAGCAUUCUAAAAAGCAUACUGAAAAUGGUCCAAGCACCAUUCCAACUGUGCGGGCGAUAUUUGGUAGUAGUCAACAGAAGAAAGCCAAACCUUAUAUAUAAAGAGAACACAAAAGGUCAAUAGUGCUUUUGGUGUCAUCACCAAGCUUCAACAAAACAUUUGGAUAAAAAUACCCCAAGACAAAAAACUUCAAAUGCAUCCCAAAUAAUGCAUCAAAUAAGUCAGGGGUAUUUUCAUCAUUUUAACAAUGCUUUUUUUAAUAAUUAAUUUUUUGGUACGGUUUUUUUUAAUUUUUUAUAAUUAGUACCUCACACUAGUCUAGCAAUUAUGUGAUUCAAUUUUUUUUUUAUUUUUAAACACGUUCAAAACAUCUUAAAAAGCGUGUAAUGUCGGUUAUAAAAAAAAAUCUUUCGCACACGGAUAAUAAUGUGAUUAAAUAAAUUGUCAAAUGAUUUUUUUUUUUUAACAAACGAUAUUAUUUACACUAAGGGGGAGGGGGUGGUCUUAGCCUCACAAUGUGAUAGUAAUAAUUUGAUUCAAUCGGUUGUUUAUUAAAUAUCAUUUUCUCUAUUUUUAAAUACGUUCAAAACAUCUUAAGAGGCGUAUAAUGCCAGAUAUAAAAAAGGUAAUUCGCAAGCAGAUAAUAAUGUGAUUAAAUUAAUUAUCAAAUGAUUGUUUAAAAAAAAACGAUAUUAUCUACACUAAGAAGGAAGGGGUGAGUUUAACCUCACAAUGGGCUAGCAAUAAUGUGAUUCAAUCAAUUGUUUAUUAAAUAUUAUUUUCUCUAUUCUUAAUGUAAAUUCUAUAGAGACCGAUUUUAUUAUGUGAAUUCAGCUGCUUUAAUUGGUUUAUGAGAGGUUUCUUCUAGCAUGAUCUAAAAUUAUUCAUUUAUUUCAAAUAUUUGAUUUUCCUUUUGUUUAAUGUGAUUCAAUUUCUCUAUUUUUAAAUACGUUUAAAACAUCUUAAGAGACGUGUAAUGCCGGUUAUAAAAGGGUCUUUUGCACACGGAUAAUAAUGUGAUUAAAUAAGUUGUCAAAUGAUUUUUUUUUUAACAAACAAUAUUAUCUACACUAAGGGGUGUGCUUAGCCUCACAAUGGGCUAGCAAUAAUGUGAUUCAAUCAGUUGUUUAUUAAAUAUUAUUUUCUCUAUUUUUAAACACGUUCAAAACAUCUUAAGAGGCGUGUAAUGCCGGUUAUAAAAAAAGUUUUUCACACGCGGAUAAUAAUAUGAUUAAAUUAAUUGUCAAAUGAUUUUUUUAUUUAAGAAAUGAUAUUAUCUACACUAAGGGGGAGGAUGUUGGUUUAGCCUCACAAUGUGUUAGCAAUAAUGUGAUUCAAUCAAUUAUUUAUUAAAUAUUAUUUUCUCUAUUCUUAAUGUAAAUUCUAUAGAAACCGAUAAUUUAUUUAGGACCUUGACAUUCUUCCAAUUUUUUUAUUGAACUCCGUUAAACUUUAUGAAUUUAUAACUCUUUUUAAAUCGUUGGAUUAAUACCACUUGCUUGGGAAAGAAAAUACUGCUUGAUAAACUUUAUAUUUAUUGACAUCUUCUCACAACAUAAAUGAUUGAUUGAGCUUAUCCUGAUAUUAAAAAUAUUUUAUGAGCUCAACAGAAUUGUACCAACUACCAAGCACCCCAAGAACAAACACCUUAAAACCUUCCUAAAUGUGUCUUAGAGCAUCUUCAAGAAAAAUUAUUGUUAAACUAGCUAGGGAACAAUGCCAGAAAACUAUUUUAGCUACUCAGUUUAAUUUUUCAUUUCUAACAACGCUUUAUUUUAGCUACCCAGUUCAACUUAUUAACAGUAAUGGAAUUUUUUUGGCUGCGAACAGGGUUUUUGUGGAUGGGAUUCGGGCUUGAUCAAGCGCACUAGAUUACGGUUGUCUAUGUACGAAUGGAAGCUAAUUUUGUGACACAUGGAUUGGCUCGUUAUAGUGUACAAUGUCGUGAGUCAUCGUUUUGGGUUGAAACGGGACCUCCAUGGCUAUUGCGUAGUGUCAUGGUUGAGUCCAGGGUUGGGGUUCAUUUGUACUGUGCAUGUAUGGUCUUUUUUUCCUUGGCCAAGGUUUUUCCCACUGGUUUACUCGAUCAAAGGUUUUUUCCAAGACCUUUCUGAUUUACAUGCGGUUGAUGUAAUUGUUAUGAUGUUCGGCGAAGGCAGUAACAAGGUUAGGGUGGGCUUUAGCAUAUGAAGAGUUUUAAUUGUUUGGGCUUAAAAAUACUUAUAGUUUAGACUAUUUUAUUAUUUUUAAUUAUUAUAGCCCACACAAUAAGUAAAAGUUCUGAUAAUAAGACUACUUUUAGAAAAGGAAAGAGUUAAAAAUUAUUAAAUAAAUUGUUUACUUUAGUGAAAGUUCUAGACAUGCUUCCUAGGUUCUCUAGAGAGUAGUCUAUAGGUUUUAAUAUUUUAUUAUUUUUAUAUUUCCUAGGGAGUAGUCACAUGGUUUUAAAAACUAGGUUUUAGUAUUUUAUUAUUUUAGGUUUUAUUGGGAGUAGUCACACACAGUUCUAGGUUUUUAGAAGUAAUUAUUAACUUUUAUUAUUUUAUUCAUUUUAAUGAGUACUCACACGUUUCUUAAGAUUGUAUUUUCGGCUUUUGAAGGCUAUAACAGUAACCCAUUUUUUUCACUUUUUAGAAAGCUUUGGUGACAUUUGUGUACAAUUCACAGACACUGAGCCUACAAUUGUGAAGGUUUGUUGAUUUUUCUCGUCAAUAGAUAAGUUUAUGACUACUUGAAAAGUUCAGUUUCAAAUUUAAUAUAUAAUUUUUGAUAAGUUUAUUUAUUUAUUAUUUGAAUUUUAAGAGUUUGUACUUGAAAAGUUCAGUUUCAAAUUUAAUAUAUAUUUUUUUCUGAAAGAUUUCUUAGAAAUAUAAUUUAUUAUAUAAACUUGUUUAUUGUUUUUCAAUUUGUUAGGUCAACGUCUGUUCAAUGAAGAUGUUAAGAACUAUUGAUUCAUUCUUUAGAAAAAGAGAUGAUGGUGAUAAAUUAGAGAGUGAUAUACCUUUUGCAUCUAAUGAUAUCACACCAAUAUCAACUGAGUAGCCUCAUGAUCCUCACCAGACAUCUAAUAUAAUUUCUUACUUCAAAUUAUUGCUUUUAAGCUUAUUAUUGUGUAACUUCAUGUAAGUAACAAAACAUUUUAACCAUUUGAUUUCGUAGUAAUAAUUUUAGUUUAACCCACCCAACAAAUAAUUCCUGGCUCUGCCAUUGAUGAUGUUGAUGUUGAAUGAAUUAUCCUUCUUCUCAAACAAAAAAUAAAAAAUUAACGCUUCAUUUUAACAAGCUUUGAAUAUUUUAUUAUUAACAAUUUAAACUAAACCCACUCAUUUUGUAAAACAACAUUCUCUCUCUUCCUUUUCUCCUUGUUCUACACUUGAGUUUUAUUAUUAUUUUUUACUAUUUUGCAAGUGAGUUGUUACACUCUAAAUUUAAAGAGAGACUGCUCAUUUUGCUAUAGUAAAGACUCAUUUACAGCAACUAAUGGAGAUGAGUUUUCUUUAAUUUUUUUAAAUUUAACUCUUUAAAAUAGAAUUUUGGUUGUUUUUACAGAAGGUUGAUCUGGGGGAGAGAUAGGAAAUCUUCGUCUAUAGCUUGGAGCGAAGUGUGUAAUAUUAGAAGCGUGGAUCAUUUCAAUAAUGCUUGUCUUGCUAAUAGUUGGAAAGUUUUAAAGGAUAAGAAUAAUUGGUGGGUAUACUUAAAAUAGUGUGAUUUCCUAGGUUGCAAGAUUAAGCAAAAUCACUAUGUGGCUUGGAAAGACAUUUUAAUUAAUAGACACAAUAUUCACAUGAGAAUGAGGUGGGUGGUGGGUCAUUUAAGGAUAUCAAUUUUUGGACCCAUAGAUGGGCUUUUUCCUUACCCAUUAUUCCAUCUUAUUCCGGUAAGUCAAGGGCAAAAUAGUAAUCCGAAAAUUAAAAUUAGUGAUUUUAUUGAUAAUAAGAGUUGGGACAGGGAUAAACUCUUGCAAGUUCUGGAUGUGGAUACUGUGAGAAAAAUUCAUUUGGUGUCUAUUUCCUUGCAAUAUAAGGAGGAUUACUUUAUUUAGGACCACUCCUAUUCUGAUGAGCUUUCAAUUAAGUUAGCCACUUGGAUCCAGAGCAAUAAAAACCAAGAAGUAAAUCGGCAAAAGCUCCUUAAGAGGAUGUGGAAGUUAAUUAUCCCGCAUACCGUACGGUAACAAUUUUUGCUUGCCUUCUUAUUCAUUGUAAAUUGAACACUAGGGUGAGGUUAAGUAAAUAUAUUCAAAAUAUGGAUAAAUCGUGUCCUUUGUGUGGAUAGGAUGAUGAGACUCAAAAUCAUCUCUUUCUUAAUUGUGAGUUUUCAAAAGAUAUGUGGAACCGUUCGCUGCUGAAUCCUUGGUUGAAUAAUACCGUUCAGGUGAACGGUAUCUUGGAUUGGUUGGAAUCUAUUAAUAGUGUCGAGUGCAAUAGUUUGAGUUAGCUUAAUAAAGCUUUUUUGAAAUUGUUGACAAAUUUAGAAUGAUAGAAAUAACAAAGUGUUUCGAAGUAUAUUCCUCAUCCUUCCAGGAGCAUUGCAAUUCCAGCUAGAGUUGGUUUAUCCUAUUUUGAGGCUAAUUUAAUAAAAUAAAAUAAUAAAAUAAUAAAAAAUAAAAAAAACUCUAAGAGUAGCCAGUGUUACUGAUAAAUUAUUUGUUGGCGUCCUCCCUCUCAUGGCUUUUUAAAAUUAAAAUUUGACAGAUCGGUUUGUCAAGAGAAAGCUGCAACUACGUUUGUUCUUAGGGAUGAGGACGGUCAACCUAUUGGGCCGGUGAUUUGGAUCUUGAUGGUGUCACUAUUUCGGUUACAGAGGCUCUGUGUUAAAAGAGGGUUGUUUGUUUGCCAGGUGCAAAUAGGAAUGGUAAUGGUUCGGUUUAGGGAUAUAAAUGUUAUCUUCAUUCCCAUUACCACGAAAAUUAACGAUAUCCGUAACAGCUAUUGAACCAUCAUUUAUUAUCCAUAAUCAUACCCACCGGGUAACGGAUUUUCCAUCGGUUAAUAGUUAUAUCCAUCUUCGUCAAUACAAAAAAUAUAUUCGUUCAAUUGACGCAUUAUAAUUUAGUAAAAAUUAAUUUCGUCAUUGAAUAUUUGAUGUAUAAAAUGAUUGAAUGGAUGGAAUUAUUGUUUACUGGCCUCGACCAUUGAAACUUUUAUUUUAUUUUAUUUUUUUGAACAAAAAAAAAUAAGUAAAGCAUAGUGCAAUCUUGCUCCAAUGGAAGCUCGAAAUUUUGUGUCACGCCCCGGACCAGGGUUGACAGAAAAAUGAACUCUGCGCCCGCUGCUUGAAUAAAAAUAAAAAUAAAUAGCAGAAAGAAAAGAAGAAAAGGGUGAAAUGAAACUGUGCAUUGUGGGCUUGCCUGAGACCUAGUACCUACUUUUAUUAUUGUUUAUGGUUUUCUUGUGGGCUAAGGAUAUUAGAGUUUCUUGCCCGUUAAAGAUUAGGGUUUUGCUUUAGUUUUCACUAUAUAUAGGAGUGAUUGUAUUAGUUUAUUUAAUCAAUUCAUUCACAAUGUAGUCUUUUAGGGUUUUGUAGCCGUUUCAGCAUUCUCAGUUAGUUUAAUAAUAUUUUUAUUAUUUUGUUAGUCUUGUUCAUUCUGCACUCUGAUAUUCAACUUGGUAUCAGAGCAGGUUUGAUCCUUUGAGAUUUAAUCUGCCCUUGAUUCGUAUCAGUUUGUUUGUUCGUUUUGUUCGUUGAUUAGAUUGUUGUUGGUUUAGUUUUGAAAAAAACAAUUGUUUGCUCGGAAGUUGCACCACUUCCAUCUUUGCAACUUUCGUCGAAGCCCUUAUUGCACCAGACACGACCCCACCACCACCAUCUGCCUGCAACCAUCCUACACCUGAACCGCACUCGUUGUUGCACUUGCACCCAGAUCCUUUGCGGUUGUCUCACAGCCGCCAAGCCAUCCAGUCACCCACCUUUGCAUCACCGCAUCCAGGCCUGCCUGGACCACUCCUGCAGCAGUACAAGAUCCGCUUCAUCUGCAUCAGUUCGACUCGCCCUACCUUGCCUGCAUGACUCACUACCGCUGCACCCAUAACCUGUCUCUAGUUUGAUCCUCCAGAAUUUAUUGAUUGCUGGAAUGGAUUAUUCGUUUGUUCACUUGAAUCGCUUGCCUUGUCGUGUCCGCUUAAUAGAGCUUGCCUUGUCGUGUCCGCCUAAUGGAGCUUGCCUUGUCGUGUCCACCUAACGAAGCUUGUCUUGUCUUGUCCGCCUAAUGGAGCUUGCAUCCGCAUCUGCUUGUUGGCAAACUCAUGACGUGUACCGCGAUGAGUUUGACGGGGGGUGUUGGAAAAUUAGUUAUUAUUUUAUUAUUGUUUAUGGUUUUCUUGUGGGCCAAUGACACGCCCCGACCUUGAUAUUCCCCGAAUACCAAGAUAGACACAUGCUGGUCGACACCCGAGGGUGACGAAAGCCAUUAAUUGAUACAAAAGCUAAGAAUAAGAAAUAAAUAAGGGUUAGAAAUUUGAAAUACAAUGAACUAACAAUUUAGGAACGUGUUCAGAGCAUACAACUAAACAUAAUCACUAAAAAGAUUUAGAUAAAAUUUAAUGAAUAAAGAAGUGGGUCCUACAUCGAGAGGAUUCGAAGAUGCUGCUGCGGAAAUGCCUUCACGCCAGGAUUAGGUGCCUUGAUUCUAAGUCCUGAAUGGGGGUGCAAAACAAAGGUGAGUGGACCAAGUUCAUAAAUACAAUAAUAAUAAAACAGUUAUCAAUAUACUAACCCCCAAAGUUUAUAUAAUGAAAACUACUAGCAUAAUAAAUGAUGGAUUUAAUAAAAAUCCUAGCAUGCCAAAUAUCUCAAAAGUCAUGUCGCGGAAACGCAUCGCGGAAAUCAAAAUAGUAAACGUAUCAUAAAUCGUCUCGUAAACGCGAUGUGCUGCUAGAAAGAUCACUGAAUAAAUAUAACUCUCGGCCUAAUGCCUGCACCUCAGUCUCUGUGCCCGUAGCCAGAGAUAACUCCCUCCCGGCCCAAUGCCUGUCUCCGUGUCCCUCAGCCUUUCGCUAGGGAUUAUUUCUCCCGGCCUACAUGCCAACACCAGAUCCUCGCCCCAGGCGGCAUAGUGUCCACUAGGUACGCACAAAUAGUUACGUCUCUCUUAAAUAACCACUUCAUAGCAUAGGUUACCGAUCAUCGUCUACACUAUAAAGAGGGGUUCAAAAACAUGUUCUAGCAUCCUAUCGUCAUUUAUCAGAUAGUCUACCAGUUUAUGAUUUUUAUAGAAAAUACGAUAUAUUAAAAUAUAGCUCAAUAUAGGCCAACAAUUAAUUCAUCACCAAAAACACGAGACGAUAAUCAAUAUAUUAAAUCAACAGGCUCCACAUAAAUCAGAUCAUAAAUUCAUAGGCAUGCUAAUCAUUUAUGCAAUUACUAUAAAAUCAUGUAAUUUUAGAAGGGGUCCACUCACAGUACUUAGUUGCCCAAAGCUGCGCCACUAGCGAAGACGAAAACGUCACAAUAAUUGCUCCUAAGCACAUAAAGAGUCCAAUAAAUAAAACUAUAUAAUAGCAAUUGAAUUUGGGAAAACGGAUUCAGAACGUCGAAUUACCCUAAGAAGAGUCCCGGACGAAAACCUGAAAAGUCAACCCUAAAGUCAACGUUGACCGAGGGUCAACGGUCAAAUUAGGUCAAACAGGUUUUAGGUUUGAAAUCCGGAUUAGGGUUUAGGUUAAAUAGGAUUAUGAUCUAUUGGGUUUGGAUGGGUUUAGGGUUUUAAAGGAUUUUAGGAACCUAGGGUUUUUGGGUUAAAAGGGUAUUAGGGUGAGAAUUGGGGUUUGGGCUUUAGCCCAAACACACACAUACACUACGAAUACACACACACACACGGCAUGCAUAAAUACAUACACACACACACACACCCACGGCACCAAGGCCCUAAGGCCUCACAAAAACUAGCAGGGCUUUAAGCCCCUUUUUAAAUGGAACCGGCCCAAGGCCAGUUUAAAUAAGGCCCAAGGUCUUUGGGGAGGGUUUUAAAAAGAACAAGAAAUAAUAAAAAAAACUAAAGGGCUGGGGGGUUUUAACGGGCUUAAGGCCCAAGGGGAAAGGAAAAGGAAGGCCGGUGGCCUGGUUUUGCCGAGACAGAGAAGGCUGGAAAUUCGGCCGGAAAACCACCUAACUUUAAACGACUAUAACUUUGUCACUACUCAACAAAAUCAAGCGAGACAAAAACGAAAGUUGUAGCCCUCGAAGAGAAGAAGAGAAUGGUACCUCACACGACGUCUAACGCGCGUGGUUUGGCCGGAAAUGGCCUCGAAAGGGGCGGUGCUCGCCGGAGCUCGUGAACAGGGCUUCAUGGUUCGACUUCCAAGAUGCCAAGACUAUGGUUGAGUUCGUAGCGACGAGAUAAAGACGAUGGUGAUGUUUGUUGGUAAGAAAAACUCUCGAAAGGGUUGAGAUAGAGAGAGCCGAGAGAGUGAGGGAAAGAGAGUUGCGGGAGAGGUGAGGGAGAAGAGAGAACUGAGAGAAGAGAGAGGGAGACCAGAAAACAUAAAAUAAAACAAGGUGGGCCCCACGGGCUCACCGAUUAAGGCUUUAAAAUAAUUUUUAAUUAACAAACGGGGUUGGGGUGUUUCAGCCAAGGAUAUUAGAGUUUCAUGCCCGUCAAGGAUUAAGGUUUUACUUUAGUUUUCACUAUAUAUAGGAGUGAUUGUAUUAGUUUAUUUAAUCAAUUCAUUCACAAUGUAAUCUCUUAGGGUUUUGCAGCCGUUUUGGCAUUCUCAAUUAAUUUAAUAAUAUUCUUAUUAUUUUGUUAAUUUCGUUCGUUACGCACUCUAACAUUCAACUAAAACUGGUUUGGUUAAUUAGUUCAAGCAUAUACAUAUAUGUAUUACAACAAAAUGACAAACUGAUAACAUAUAUAUAUAGACAUACACACACACACAACCUUUUGUAUAUUACAACAAAAUGACAAACUGAUAACAUAUAUGAUAUAUAUAUAUAUAUAUAUAUAGACACACACACAACCUUUUGUACAUAGCUUUUAUAGCAUAGUGAUACACACACACACACAACCUUUUGUACAUCAGCUUUUAUAGCAGAGUGAUAACAUAUAUAUAUAUAUAUAGACACACACACACAUAACCUUUUGUACAUCAGCUUUUAUAGCAGAGCAGCCAAACCAAAUUGAUAAACCACACAUAUAGCUGUUUGCACAACAACUUUUAUAAUUAAACAUGCAGUAGAAAAGGAUACCCAAAUAAACAUAUCAACAUUUAUACAUGAUUAAACCUUAAAUUACUUUCAGUGUAAGUCUCUAUAUCACUAUAACUCUCAAUAACAACCUCAAAAGAAAUAACCAUGAAAGGUGUUGGAGUUUUUUUAGUAGAAAUAUCAUUCUAGCUCAUUGUUCUACAUUGAUCACUCCUAAAAUGUUCCCCCAUUUUAUAAGACAUUGUCCUUAUUACAAAGUGAUAGGAGUGAUAGACCAUGAAGAGCAAACUUGAGCUCAACCUUGGGUUUGGGUUUUGAGGUGUGAUAAUUAAUUAAUAAUUAAUAUAGAAUUAAUUAUCAAAAGAUGGACAUUGGGACUCUGGCUCCAAUAAUUAAAUUCAAUAAUUAAACUUUUAGUUUAUUAAAUUACUUUCGGAUUUAAUUAAUUUUUUUCUUUUUCAACAGACUCCUCUUUUCAGAUGAAGUCUAAGAGCGUUUGAGAACGUAUGAAUAAGUUUAAGAAAAAGAUGGAGCAACACACCCUUUGCUUUGAAUGGUGUAAACUUGCAAGUGCACAAGAUAGUCGUAAUAUAGCUUUUUGCAAGUCCAAGGAUCAUUCCCACGAGGAUUCUAAUUCAAUCUCCAAUUUGAUAAACUAAACCAAAUCUAAUUAUAUUAAAGACACACAAACCCAAAAAUAUAAACCCAAACAAUGAACUAGACUCUAUCUUAAUUAAUAAUUCAAUCAAAGAUGUGAAGAGUUUGUUGUGAUGAUUUUAUACACGAACAGAAACUCGUUACCCUCCAAAUGCUUUCAGGUAAGAGCAAGAGCUACAACAGUUGGGCUAAAUUGUCUAUAAAAGGAAGGACGGUCCCCAGAGACAAGGACACUCAACCAAUCAAACAAACAAACUUACAAACUCUACUCUCAAACCAGAUUUGCAUCCAAAAGCUGAAAUCAACCCAGAUUCAGUCCUUUUAGAGAUAGUUCUUUAAGAAAAGCUAUCUCUCGUCUAGUAUAAAAGUUCUGCUAUCUCCCUUAGUUGUGUAGUAUCGAUUCCCUUGUGUGAACUUGUUUUCCAUCCAUCCCUUUUUAGCAUAUAAACCCUGUAUAUUCAAAGAGAAGUGACUGCAAGAAGUUCAACCUUACCAGACAAGGUGAAAUCUUGCUUGAAGCUUUUUGUUUGUUUUCUAAAUUAGUAGAUCUAUUGCUUAAUGCAUUCUCCAGCAUGUAUUCAAGUUAUUUCCACCUGUUUUUUCUAUUUUAAGAGUUCUCUUUGCAUCUAGAUCUGGUUAGCUUGAUGAAUAUGUUUUCAUUAAAUGUAAUCUGGAACCAAACUAGUAAUUUAAGGGGCUCCGGACUCCCUUCAUUUGAACAUACAAGAUUAUGAACUAAAAGUCUUUGUUUACAAGGCAAGAAAAAGAACUUAAUAACCCAUCCACGAUAAUCCUCUAAUAACAAGAAGUUUAAAGUAACUUGGGGCGCAAGUAAUCAACUUAAAACACAUUUGUUCUACAUCUGCUUUACUGAGAUAGCAGUGGCAUGCAUAGCACUUAGUUAGUUUUGAUUACGAGCCUCAAGGCCUACACCUAAGGCCCCAUAAAGGCACCUUUCAGAACUAACUUUGUUCUCUUCUUGUAGCACAUCAACAAGUAAGAGCCCGACUACACAUCCAAAGUACCAAUCCCUUAGGGAGCUGUGCUGAGUACCGAGGAACCUUCUCCAAAGGAAUCUUUGCACGAACAGCCCCCUUAUUUUCUUAUUUUCAGGUCGAAUGGUUAAGAAAAUAAUUUCUUCAUCCUUCUUUUUAGCAAAAGAAAAUGAAAAUGGGUGAACCAUAAUCAGGAAGAGGUCAACGAUGCUUUAUUCGAAGCCGAGAUCUUUUUAUAUCAAAAUUUUCACUUUGAGUUUUUCCAAGGUCGAAUAAAAGAUCAUCUCCAAAUAUAUUUGGCUUGACGAAAGAUUUUUUAUCAUCGGCAGCCGAAUGUGUUGACCAAUUAUUAUGCCUCUCAGGCAUAAUUACUUCAUCAGUUUCAGCUUUUAACUCAAAUAACUUAGCCAAAUAGGAUUGCUCCAUAUCGGUUUUAUCGCGAAUAACCAUAUCGACUGUUAUGGUUUCAGAGUCUAAUAUCACGUCUCCAAUUACCAUAUCAAUUGAUGUGGCUUUUUCGUUUGAAAUUGUGUAUCAGCCUUGUUCGUCAUUGGAACACUCCUUUGAGGAAUCAUUUUCCGAGUCAAAUUUUGUAUUUGGCUCAGAAACUUGAACUUUUUCUUCUAGGCCUACCAAACUUUCAGUAAUUGGCAGCCUAGGUUUUUUUUUGGCCGCCUUGACAAUUUUCUUGAGCCAAAGUUUGACUGUGGCCGCGGUGGUUAAUAGCUCCCAGGCCUCUUGCCUUUCUUUUUCAAAAAUUCUACACGCAUCAAAAAAAUUUCUAUAGCACUCCUCAAGGAGUUUACUUGCUCCUCGAGGUUUUUUUUUAAUAGGCGAUAAAUCUCGUCCAAUAGGGCCUGAUUGAGAUCUUGAUAUAUCAUAUGAACUUCGUAGCUUUAGCACUAGGUCCCACUCGUCAUGCCAAAAUGUUGACCCUAAAAACUACCUAGCCUACGUGGUGCAUGGUUGAAUGCGAGACGUGCCAACUCGUUGGCCGAGUUUGGUCUGGGAUUAAAAUAUAUUGAUGUGACGUUGGGCGCGUUGUUGACUUCUUGAUCUCGCGACUGCGGCAAAGGAAGAAACACAUCUCGACCUUUGGGUUCUAGAGCCUGAAAACAAUGAUGCUAGUUCUGUGAAGUUCAAUAUCAAAUUCGGCUUUCAAUGUGACAAAUGUAGUAACCUGGUAACACCUUACUUCGUCGAGAAGGCUAAUGAGAUGACCUUUUCCAACAAAGACUCGGAAAUCCUUACUGACUUAGACUUGGAUAAAUAACCAAUCGGUCUAAGCAAUGUUGUCUAUCCAAACUGAAUGUGCUCCUUGAUUGGUUGAUUCUACGACUCUAGUACUGUUUAUCCAAACUAAAGAUGUUGUCGGUUGCCUCCACAAUGUUGUCUAUCCAAAUUGAAGAUGUGUUGGUGGAGAAAAAGAAAAUAAAAAUCUCAAAGUGUUUGUGAGGUUUGUGCAAAACAAUUGUGUGUUGAAUUGGAGGGGGUUGAAUUGUUGCAUGCGGCUCCGUAUUUAUAUUGGUUGUAUUUUACUUAGCACAGCCUGAUAGCUUUGUAGAGUCCAACUAAAAAUCAAACUCCCUCCACACGCUAACAUGCGGCAUCACGACCAUAUUUUGACUCUUGAUAAGCCAAUCCCUUUUGCUAUAAUUAUCACAACUUGAAUUGGUACUAGUCAGGCAGCAUGUGUUAUUUUUCUUAUUUUUCUCUACAAUUGAGGGAAAUGCGGAGAGAGAGAAAGCCGUUCGGCUCUGGGCUUGAUGCUAGGGAGAGAAGUGGCUGAGGGUUUUCACAAAAAAAAAAAAAAUAUCUGAAAUGAAAAUGAGCAGCUGCUACCAGAUGCGGAUUAUAUAAUGAGUUCCUAGGGUUAUUGACACGUGAGAACUACACGUGUGAUUCCGUGUAUGUGAGAGUGGUCUAGCGCCUUUCGUCAGCUAGCAGGUCUUGGGAACGAGUCCUGAAUCCAGCACCCCUUUACUUCUUUUUGCUGAUUUUCCCAGCCUUGUGGUCCCAGGCUCCAGCGCCUCUUUUCACUCCAGGUCGCGAGUUAGAGCAAUUCCACCCCUGUGGACUUUGCGCCAGCACCCAGCGCAUUUAUCCACUCAAAUGAACAGUAACAGACUCCAAUGAACAGUAAUAGGCCAAGGCAUCUCCACCCCUAAAAAAAUGCGCUGGCACCUAGUGAAAAAAUGUGCUGGCACAAACGAUCUCCAUCCCUACAAAAUGCGCUGGCACCCAGCCCAUUUAAGAUAUUUUUAAAUUUUGUCUAAAAGAAUAAAAAAAUAAAAUAGUUUUAAUUUCGGAUAGGAUUUUUAACCAAUCUGAACGUACUAUUUUGUAAAUUAACAUUUUUCAAAUAUUUAUGUAAUUUUUUUAAAAUUUUCUGUACUUUUUAAUAAUUUUUCUGUAUUUUUUAAUAAUUUUUAAUGAAUUUUAAUAUAGUUAAUUAAUCUGGACCGUUGGAUUUGAAAAAUAUUCAAAUCCAAGAGCCAGGGACUUGCCACGUGGCCAACGGUCAUAUUUCUGACUGUUGGGGCCUUUUUUUUUUUUUUUUUUUACUUUUUUGUAAAAAAAACGUGGACCGUUGAUUUUUGAUCCGACGGUCUAUGUUAAAAGUAAAAUUUAAAUUUUUUUUACCGUUGGAAAUCCAACGGUCUAGAAAACUAGCCGUUGGAAAUCCAACGGCCGAAAGAAAGCCACGUCGCCAACUCGGGGGGUGGAGUCAGUGCGCCUGUCACGCGGGCCCGGCUCUGAAACCGUGUCGGGUACUCGCCGCAUCACGGGCGUGAAUCGCACGCGCCAGGCCAAUGGCCCGGCUUCUUGCUCAGUCCAUUUUGGGCUGGUCUAUGAAAUGAGCUGGUACCCAGCCCGAGCUGGGCAAUGGACCAGCCCAAAAUGGACUGAGCAAGAAGCCGGGCCAUUGGCCUGGCGCGUGCAAUUCACGCCCGUGAUGCGGCGAGUACCCGACACGGUUUCAGAGCCGGGCUCGCGUGACAGGCGCACUGACUCCACCCCCCGAGUUGGCGACGUGGCUUUCUUUCGGCCGUUGGAUUUCCAACGGCUAGUUUUCUAGACCGUUGGAUUUCCAACGGUAAAAAAAAUUUAAAUUUUACUUUUAACAUAGACCGUCGGAUCAAAAAUCAACGGUCCACGUUUUUUUUACAAAAAAGUAAAAAAAAAAAAAAAAAAAAAAGGCCCCAACAGUCAGAAAUAUGACCGUUGGCCACGUGGCAAGUCCCUGGCUCUUGGAUUUGAAUAUUUUUCAAAUCCAACGGUCCAGAUUAAUUAACUAUAUUAAAAUUCAUUAAAAAUUAUUAAAAAAUACAGAAAAAUUAUUAAAAAGUACAGAAAAUUUUAAAAAAAAUUACAUAAAUAUUUGAAAAAUGUUAAUUUACAAAAUAGUACGUUCAGAUUGGUUAAAAAUCCUAUCCGAAAUUAAAACUAUUUUAUUUUUUUAUUCUUUUAGACAAAAUUUAAAAAUAUCUUAAAUGGGCUGGGUGCCAGCGCAUUUUGUAGGGAUGGAGAUCGUUUGUGCCAGCGCAUUUUUUCACUAGGUGCCAGCGCAUUUUUUUAGGGGUGGAGAUGCCUUGGCCUAUUACUGUUCAUUGGAGUCUGUUACUGUUCAUUUGAGUGGAUAAAUGCGCUGGGUGCUGGCGCAAAGUCCACAGGGGUGGAAUUGCUCUUAGAAUCCCAGGUGUGUCAAAUUCCUCUUCUUUUAUUUUUAUUUUUAUUUUCGUUGUUUAUUUGAGCUUCUUUGUCUAGUUAUAGUUAGUUUCAUUAUUUGAUUUUCUUUUUGUUGUUUUAUAUUUUAUUUUAUUUUAAUUUCUUUUCCCCACCAUGGGGACAAUGUGUGAUUUAAGUUUGGUGGUGGGAAAGUAAAAUUUUAGGUUUUAAAUUUUUCAAUCAAGUUUAAAAUUUUCAGUUUGUUUUUUAAGUUAAUGUCCAUAAAUUAUUUUAAAUAUUAGAACAAAUGGACAUAGUGAAGGUUAAUCUCACAGAAGAGUUCUUUUCUAUUUAUCGUUGCUUAGACACUAAUUCAUGAGUUAUACUUUAAAAAUUUGCACAUUCACAUCAACAUGGUUUGUGGGGAGUGAAAUUGAAGCACUUACUUUUCGUCUAAGUUAAUUUUUAAUUUUCGUUCUAAAUAAAGUGAAGUUUAGUUAUUAUUACAAAUAAGUAAUAAUUGUUUCACCUGAGACUUUGCUUAGUAACUGGCCAGUCCUGCUUGAUCAGCAAUGAUUCUCGUGUCAAAUGGAAGAGUUUUGGCAUGGGGCAGGGUGGUUAGUUGGUUUUGUAGCCUUUUCAGCUUGAGUUAGUAAGUCCUUAGGGGUGUUCUACACCUAGUGCCCUAAAGCCUUGUGGUUUGGGAGUCAUUGACCUAAAAUUUGUUACAUGGGUUGGAUUGAAAGUUUAAUGGAAUUGACAUUGCACGACCACUACAAUUACUAGAAAAAAAAAUAUGAAAAAAAAGUCAAAAAGAAGAAAGAAAAAAAAAUAUUUAUGUUUAAAGUUAGUAUGUAUGAAGUAUUAAAUAAAAAUGAUGAGUUGUAAAGGUUUUAGCUGAGUCUCUUUAACUUGGUUGGUUCACUUUACACCAAAGGAAGUUCAUGAAUUCUUUUCUAAUUGAUUCUAAAUAGCUUAGACUCUAUGGUGUGAUUAGUUGGAACUUUUGAAAAUAUGUUCUGAUUUUUAAUGUUUUCUAUGGCUUACGACUUGAAGAUGAAAAUUUUGUCUUGGUUGAGUUUUAAUAAAGUUUUUAAGUUUAUUAGUUUUUGUUUUUGUUUUUGAGUUAUGUUUUGCUUGAGGACAAGCAAAAAGCUAAGUUUGGGGGUAUUUUGAUGAGUCGAUAUUAUACUAUAUAUUUUACCCUAUUCUUAGGUAUAAUUUGUUGGCUAUUUUGGUAGAAAUUUGAUACUUUGAAUUAUAUUUCUAAUGUAGGACAUUCGACUUCCUCUGGAGCAAAAAGUGGCCAAACAGACGAAUUUUUGAGUGAUUCCAAUUGGAGGAUGUUUGUGAGUCUCUCAACUUGCUUGUAUCAACGUUUAGAAUUUUCUAUUGAGCAUAUAAUUCAUGGCGAUGAAAUAAAGGAGCAGUGUGCAAUGUUGUCAAAGUGACGUUUUGGGCUUAUUUGGGCUUUUUGGCAUCCAAGAUGACGUCUUUUGGGUUCGAGACCUUCUACACUUAUGUUCGGGACAUUUCAAGCUUUAUUCAAGUCAUUUUGGGCAUGUUUUGAAGCCCUAAAGAUCCAGAAACGUGGUUGAUUUGUGGCUGGGCAGAUUUUCCAUAUUGAUUAAGAUUAUGUUUCCUAGUUUAUCUUAACUUAUUAUGUUUCCUAGUUUAGAAGACAUUUUCUAGUAAGGAUUUUAAUUGUGUAGUAGUAUAAAUAAGGUUUUUUAGCCUUUAGGAUUUUUGGAGAAGGAGGAGAGAACGCAUUGCUUUAAGAGAGAAGAACGAACACACUAAUUUGGAGAAUUGCUUUUGACAAUUCAAGUUUAUUUUCAAGGUGUUUUCUAUCCAUGUUUUUAAUAAUAUUUUGUUUUAUAAUUGUUAGUAACUAAUUCUCUUUUGCUAAGGCGAGGCCAGGAGGCUUAGCAGGAAUAAGUAGUUUCUUUUCAAUUUACUUAUGAUAUUAUGCAUGGAUGUUUUGAGUUAUUAAUCACCGUGUUUAUACUAUUUAAGUAUUUUAGUGAUUGGCCACUAUUAGGAUCUUUAGAAAAAUAAUUUGAUGCAAUUUUGGCUAUGGGCUGUACCUGGAAUUGACUAAGGCUUCUUGUGGUUAAUAUGUGUAACUUCUUAAGAUGGAUGACACGUUUUAAGGGUUAUAUGGUUUUUUCAAAAGAUUUUCACAAAACUUAUGUUCACAUUUGAUCUUGACACCACGGACAGAUUGCAUGUUAGAUAUAUGUUCUAUAUUGGAGGUUCCAAGUAGGACAUACUUUAGGAAAACCUAACCUUCAAAAUAUGCAUGGGUAAUUCAUAAGUAAUUGGAAGAACUACGUAGGAUUGUUAAGGUGACGGUGGAACUCUAGUGCUUAAAUAGAUUUUCAAAACUAUUUUCUUUUGUUUUCUUUACUUUGCCAAUUUAUUUAAUUGUUUUUAAUAUUUUAGUUCACUAAAUCAACCUUUUUCAAACUUUGUUUCCAAAUAAUUAAUUAAGAUUUGAUUUUAACAUAAAUUAUUCAUUUAAUCCGUGUGGAAAACAAUCUUACUUGAGCAGACUAUACUACAAUUACCUUGUACUCUUGCAAGUAUUUGAAGUGCUUGUAUCCCUAUAUGGCAGGUGGUAAAAAUGUUAUCACUAACAAAAGUCUAAACGUCAUAGGCAAACAAUCAGAUAAAAUUGAAAAUAAUUAAUAGCUAGAGAAAAAUGUCUGGUAAAAUGAAAAAAUAAACUACACUGACGAAAAAAUUGAUAAAAUGUUACGAGAAUUAAAAUGGAACCAAAAGCUAUUUCUGUAGUAAGACACCAAGGAACAGCAUCAGAAACAACCUCAGUAGAUCAGAGUCAGAUAACUGCCAUGACCUCUUGCUUUGGAGAUUUUGUAAUGGUCAUUUUCAUUAAAAUAAUAUAAUACAAAAACAUUGGAGCCGAGCUUUUUCUUCUCUCUUCUUAGUACAUAGCCAAUUCAUUGCUGCUUGCAGGUUCAGAAAAGGAAUUGAGAAUCUGAUCUUAUCAUUGGUAUCAUCCUUCUCGUUUCUAGUUUCCUCUUGUAUGCCCUGCCACACAACCAAUUCCCGUGUUUCCGCCAUGGAUGGUCGCAUCUCCACACUUGAAUCCUCAAUGGAGGCUCUACCCCAAUUUAUUCGGUUGUCGAUUGUUUUGGCGAUGUCCUCUCUUUCCACCUCCAUGGCCACCAAAUUGGCAGUUUGCUUUGAGCAGUUCUGUCGGGAGCUUUCAUUUGGUGGUGGGGGACCUUCUUCCUCAGAUCCGGCUGCUUCGACCUCAGAUCUGGUCACUCCUCCACCGAUCCUCACUGAUGAUACUAAUUUUCACAGCAUUGAAACCCCCGAAUACCCUCCCUUGAGAAUUAUGAUGGUGGUGGACUUACUCCUCGUCCCUAACGACAACAUUGUCUAGAUUUUUCCUGCUUUUCAGAAGGUUGUCACCGUCUCUUAUCACCUUGACAAUAAAGCUAUAUGAUGGCUUCGUUGGCGGGAUUGCCUCCGUGCCACUCCUACUUGAGGCGAGUUUACACGGGCCUUCUACCAAGAAUUUGGACCUUCAUAAUUUGAGGAUAGCAUUGAAGCCUUGUUUAAGCUGUGGCAAAUGAGAAACAUUCUCUCUUCUUCUAAUCUAUUUUCCCUUCCCUUUCCUUCUAUUUGAACGAUAACAGUUAAGUCACGUCAAUAUUUUAAAUUGAUUUUUUUUUAUAGAGAUAAUAAGACAAAAACUAAUGUAUGAGAGGAGAGGAGGGAAGUGAAUGAGAAUAGAAAGGAAGAUAAUCCUACUCCAUGGCAAAUAGAUACACUUAGAGCAUCUCCACCGAAUGGUUGUGGAGGGCGAUAGCAAUUGGAAGGCAAAGGCGAUAAAAUUAUUCUUACUUUUUGCUCUAAACAAUAAUUUUUUUUGUGCAAGUCCAUUAGUGGGAGGAAAAAAAAAGCAAAGACAAAAGCGAUUACUAUUCACAAAUAUAUUUUUUAAUAUUUUAAUAUUUUCUUUGUCAUAUCCCCACAUAUCAUUGUUGCUGUAGAUUUUUGAGUCGUUUUAAACUUUUAAUUUGCCAUAGAUUUUUGAGUAGUUUUAAACGUUUAAUUUGCAAGUUUUUUAAUUUUUAAAAUUUUUAUGAUUUUUUUUAAUAUUUAGAGUUGGAUUAAUCAUAGUCAUUGAAUUGAAAUUCUUGUUGAAAUCAAAGGCUCACAAAGAGUCACGUGGGGGAAGUGGGAGAGCUGGUGAACAGCUCAUGGGUUGCAACAAAUAUGGGCUUCACAUGGCCCCUUGUUUGUUGGGCUUAAUGUAGGGCACAAGCCCUUACAAUUGUUGAAGGGACAGCUGCCUUCAACCCAAUUGCAUUCUAUUCUGUGGACUGUUGGCAAACUUUUUUAGGGGUGAAGGGUCAACUCAACUCAAUUGUCCUCGCAAUUGAGUGACUGGUGGAGAUGCUCUUAAAAAAGUAUAUAUUGGAAUUUCAUAAACUUUCUAAUAGAUCUACUGAUGUUGGCCCAAUUUUGUUGAAGAGUUGCUUCUUGAGAAGGUUGAAACGUGAAUUAAAAUAUGAUGUAAAAUUGUUCAGACCUUUUUCUGUUAAUGAUGCUUUUGCUAUUGGUGUACAAAUCGAUGCUAAGCUUAAUGAUCUUAAACCUAUUGCAUCUGGUUCAGUAUCAGUACCUAAGUCUCAACCACUUAUAUUGCUCUAUUUGCGUGUUUCAAAGCCUAAACAUAUUGCUUACCUUCGAAGAAACUAACCCCUGAAGAGAUGCAACGCAAGAAAUAUAGGGGAGAAAUGGGCCAGAGGUCACAAAUGUCCCCACAUAAUUGCUAAUGUUAGAUGUGAUAGGCAUGGACAGUGUAGAAGAGGUGAUUGAAGGGGAUGAAAUGCCACCGGAAUUGAGUGAAUGUGCCUUCUAUGGUACUCUUGCUAAAUAGACUCUGCAAACUAUGAAGGUUUAUGGGUUUGUUAAGAAUCAACAUGUGAGAAUUUUGCUCGAUUUCGGUAGCACUCAUAAUUUUGUGGAUUCUAGACUAGUGAAGAAGUUGUGUUUUGUCUCUAGGGUUAUGAUAUAGUCUUGGGAGUUCAAUGGUUAUCCACUGUCAGUCCUAUCUUAUGGGAUUUUUAAUUACGGACCAUGGAGUUUACUAAGGGUUCUCGAACAUACAAACUAAUUCAUAGUGCCAUCAAAACACCACCAUUGGUACAAGAGAUGACACUCCAACAGCUUGACAAGGAGUUCUAUGAUUCAAACUUAGGCAUGCUUUUGUAUUCUAUGCACUCAGGGAAACUUGAAGCUUCUGAUCUCACUACUCAACAGCUUGGAGAAUGGCAGGAAGUCUUGGGGGAAUUUGAAGAAAUAUUUGUAAUUCUAUCUGAACUUCCACCUCCUAGAGAACAUGACCACAAGAUUUCACUGAUGCCUGGAGCUAAGCCACCUAUAUCAAACCCUACCACUAUAGAUGAGUUGCGCCUUGAAUGGGAAAGAAGUAUUAUGCAGACCAAGUAACGCUAAGAAAAGCACUUUACUUCGGAUCCCCCUAAUCUUGCUCGGGAUCCGCCCCCUCGGAGUACUCCAAAUCUUAAGCUGAGUGUUGAAUUUUAAACUCGUUUUUCUUUGCUUGUCAAAUCAAAAUGCUAUCUUCUCUUAUGAUCGUUCAAUGUUUGAAAUCACCAACCAGUAGGGAAAUAUUUGCCAUCCACCGGAUUAGGUUCACUACUUUCUCUCUUUACGACUAAUGUAUUAUUAUAAUACAAAUUUAUGAUUGUUGUUGAAAAUAGAUCUCACAUUUUGAUGGAAAGAAAUUUUACAUUUACUUAUAAGUAAGUUAGGCUAUUUUUCAUAUCGUCAAUUGGUUUGAUGGUGAAAUUUCAACUUUUUUUAUGGUAUCAGAACAUAUUGUCCAACGUGUGAAGCCCAACAUCCACACGUGUUCUACAUCACCUAAUUUUUGUUCUCGUAUUAGGCUUGAAAAUUCGCCACACGUGAGGGGGUAUGUUGAGAAUGUAUCCCAUAUUGAUAGGAAGAGGGAUCUUGCACGGACUUAUGAAUAAUUAGGCUACUCCCCAUAUUAUCAAUUAGUUUUAUGGUAAAGCCUCAGCUUUUUUUAAUAACAAUUGUUUAUCUUCUUGACCAUUAUUUCAAGAUCAUCUUUACAAAAAUUUAAUCAUAUUCGAGAUGAUUAUUUAUUUAUAUGCCUCAAACAAGUAGAGAGCCCUCGUACCAAGCAACAUUUCAUGAUAAAUUGUCCACAUUUUUUGCUACAUACUAGAAAGUUUUGCCCGCACGUUGCUGCGUGAUUAGAAAUUGUGUGAAAAAUUAUGUUUCAAAUGUAUAAACACAUGAACUUAUAUCACAUCUAAUUAAAUUAUUGCAACAACAUAUUAACGUACUUAAUAUGGAAAUUCAUAAACUAUUUGACAAUAUGAAAUCGAGCAAUUUCUAAACAUGAGAAAUGGAUAUUAGAAAGUAUAAAUUCUACCCCAUAAAUAUUAACACAAUUAACAAAUUCUCAGUACAUGAUCACAAAAAGGUAUAAAAAAGUAAUUCAAUUUCUAAAUUUCAAAAAUGGUAAAGAUAAAAAAAGGGUCCAAGUUCUCAAUUCUCAUCAUAACGAAAAUUAUGAUAUCAUUUUAACAUGAACUUGGGUUGAUUUCGGUUACCACCAUUUAGAAAGCUAGUGACUUCAACAUGUGCAAGCAAACGACUGAAUUAGACGCAAGCUAACUUCUUCCCAAUCAAUCACGAUCAAACUAACCUAUCUUCUUCCCAAUGUAGAAGAUGUCCUUUGUUUUGCCUUUGUGAACAGUGCACUUUUCACUCUCUACACUAGAUCUGGCAGUUUCUGACACGACAUGAAAAUAACGGGUUUCAUGUUAACACGAUAACUAAUCGGGUCAUUAUCGGGUGACCCGUUAAUAACGGGUUCCUAACAGGUAUACACGUGGGUAACCUGUUUCGACCCGUUAAGAAAAAAAUUAUUUUAUAAUUUUAAAGUUUAAUUACUAAAAGAUUUAUUAUAAAAUACAAUAGCCAUAUUAAUAUAUAUAAUAUAUUCUAUAUUAAAUAUAUAGUUUUGUAUUAUUAUUCUAUAUAAGUUUAAAAAAAAGUUUUAGUCAAUAUUUAUUUUUAUUAUGAGAGUUCCUCAUCAUCAUUACUAUGAUAAAUUUUACUUAACAUAUUGUCCAAAAUUAAAGUCAACUAGUAUAGUAUUUGUAUAGGUAAGAACUAAGAAGACAUACAUACAAGUAUGAAAAAUGUGAAAUAAUAUAUAAACACUCAUGAUUCAUCAUUAUACCUGCAUGAGUAGAUAAUGAUUUCACCUACAUUAUCGUUUAGAUUUUUAAAAUCCUCCAAACCCUCAUGAAUAAUGUUUUUUAUUUGAGGGCAAAAUUAAUAACAAUUAUUGUAGAGGUGCAAAAAAUAAAAUAAAAUAAUAUACAAUCACUCAUAGUAACAAGUUUUACAACUUUCAUGAAAAGGUCAGCUUCGAAAUCCAACACUAUAAUCUAUAAACCUUAAAUUUAUAUUUAACCAUUGAUUGUCAUUUACACUUUAUUCUGCUUACUAAAUUUCAUUUUUUUUAAUUUUCUUUUUUAAAAAUAUGAUCAUCUGGCGGAUGUAAGAAGAUGAAUGGUUCAGAUCUUUGAUAUCACGUUUCGAUAUUUACGAUUAACUAAAAUAUGAGUCGAUGUCAUAUAAUUUGUAGAAACUUUAUAAACAUCAAGCAAUAUUUUCACUAACUGUAAAACUCUGAAUAUAAUAUCAACGAUCCAAACCGUUUAUCUUCCUGAAUCCUCUAAUAGGUCAUGUUUUCAAUAAAGAAAAUCUGGAAAAAAAAAAACAAAAUUUGAUGAGAACAAUGAAGCUUAAAUGUAAACAACAAUCAACGCACUACUACAAAAUUCACUAUAACUGGCGGUUCAAAAACCGACAAAAAACGUAUCUUAUUGUCGGAUUUUAAGUAAAAUCCGACAGAAAAUGGAUGCAGUGACGGAUAUAAUAAGCGACAGAAUUGCCUGCGUCAGGAAAUGAAUUUUCCGACAGAAAAUACUCUAAAACUGACAGAAAUUUUGUCGGUUAUAUUCGACAGAAAUACUGUCGGUUAUAACCGACAGUAUAUAUAUAUUUAUUAGAAUUUAUGUCGGAUAAAACCGACAGAAAAUAGUAAAACUAACAGAAAUACUGUCGGUUAUAUCCGACAGAAGUUAUUAUAAAAAUAAAUAAAAUUAUUCUUGUCGGCUAAAACCGACAGAAAAUAUAUUAAUAAUAAUAAAAACAAAUUUCUGCAUUCACCAUCCGAAACCUCGCCGGAGCUCCAUCUCGAAAACCUCAGGACCCUUAAAGUCCUAGGCAAGGGAGCAAUGGGUGGAGGUUCAGGAACUGAACCCAAAUCAAUGAAAUUUUUCUUGCUUUUGUAUCACAAUAUUCUCUCUGUUUCCUACCAAACCAUUUUUCUGGACAGCAGCCAAGUUCUCCAUCGAAAUAGCCAAGUUCUCAAACCCGGUCCUUACUCCCUCCCCAUUCAGUAUCUUCAGCAACCUGUUUAGACAUUUAUCCAGAUCGAGAAGUUGCUUGGCGUAUUUAUACUUUUUGAAGCCUUUCCACGGGCUAAGCUUGGAGCACUUGAGAACCAGCUCUUCCCUAUUCACUAUUUGUCUCACAAUCUUUUCCACUUCCUUGUUUGAUUGAUCCUGUUUGUGGCAGGAAUUUCCGUCGGGAAUGUUUCCUGGCCGACGAGCACACAGCUCCCCUGGAGGUUGGCGCCGGUUGAGGGCUGCUGUCGGGCUUCUGCUUCACUGUCGGGCUUUAUCGGGCAAGUCUCGUCGGGCAAGACUCUUCGGGCAAGACUCUUCGGGCAAGGCUGAAAGAGAAGGACAACGUUAACUUUGAGAGGUGCCUUUGUGGGGCCUUAGGUGUAGGCCUUGAGGCUCACAAUCAAGGUUAACAUUUAGGUGCUUAGGCGUGCCACUGCCAUCUUUAGCAUGGCAGAUGUAAAAUAGCAGUCGUGCUUUAGUUGUAUGUAUGUAUGUAUCCAAGAAACCGUGUUAGUUAUAACAAGUGCCUUUGUGGGGCCUUAGGUGUAGGCCUUGAGGCUUCUCAUAAAUAACUAAACCAGUGCUCGAACGCAUCAUAUUCAUUCUCGUGAUUGUAGGAGUUUUCUAACUAUUAUACUUCUGAUUACCCGAAUCCAAGAAGUAGGAUGAACCCAAAUAAGUGCCUUUGUGGGGCCUUAGGUGUAGGCCUUGAGGCUUCCCAUCAGAGUUCAUUCUUAUAAUUGGACUCUUUAGGUCGCUGAACGGAAUGAAUCCAAAUGGAUGCCUUUGUGGGGCCUUAGGUGUAGGCCUUGAGGCUUUCCAUUAGAAUCCAUCCAUGCUCAAGCAUUCUAUGAUAAUCAUGGCAUAAUAGAAAGAAAACUAGAAGGUAGGUUGAUUACUUGCGCCCCAAGUAACUUCGGACUUCUCGUUUAUCAAGGACUGUCGUGGAUGGGUUAAGUCCACAUAAGGUUCUUUUUUAUGCCUUGAGGCCAAGGACUUUUAACUGAUUAGAUUUACAUGCCCGAGGGCUUAGGACUUAGAUCUGGUUUGAACACUGACGAUAUAUUCAAAUCGGAUUCAAGUACUGAGAAAGCCUCUUAAUAAUCAUGUUGCUAGAAAUAACUUGCAUAUAACUGGAAGUAUACAACAUAUUGAAAAGACAAAACUAAAGCAAAGAAGGUCGGGCAAGGUUAAACCUUAUCGGGUAAGGUUGCUCGUCUUGCAGGUCCAUAUCUUUGUAGUUUUGUCAAAGGUCUGAAAGCUUAGAGGGGUAGAGAGAGAGACAUUACAAAAGAUGAAUCGAUACUACAGCAAGGUUGAACAAGGUAGCAGAGUUAUUACAAAGGUUGAAGAGAGGGUUAUCCCGAAAGGGAUGGAGGUUUAUCUCGAAAGGGAUGAAGGCUGACUACAGCUUUGUUUUGAAGGCAAAUCUGGCUUUGAGCAGAGUUUGUGCUUGCAUUUGUUUGUUUGAUUGAGUGUCCUUAAUCCUUGAUUUUCUUUCUUCUUAUAUAGACAACUUGGCUUGGCCUUUGGUAGCAGCAGCUUUGCCCGAAUGCGGUUUGAGGGUGAUGACUCAUCAGCUAUUUUACAUGUAAUGCCACCAUAAAGUACUUUAUGGGCUGUGUAGCUGACCAGCCUACACCACUUAGCCUUUGGGUAGGUAAGCAAGUGGUCUUCAUGAGCUGCAUCAAGUCAGAAAAGGCCUUCUCCUACCUUCUGGGCUUCGACUGGGCUUCGGCUAUCUUCCCUUUCGGGCUUCCUUUUGGGCCAACUCCUUUCUUGAGCCCAAAGUUCAAGUUUGGAUCCAAACAGUGCCCCCUUCAAUCAAUGUUAAGAUUGGAAUCCCAAGCGCCAACAUUAAUUGAAUACCCGCAUGCGUGUAUCUCAAUCUUUUGGAACUUCGUGUUCCUUCGACAGGAUGAAGGCAACCCCAUGUCCCUUGAGCUUCUCACGACCUUUGAACUACCCUCUGGUUUUCUAUAAAUUCUGGCUCAGAAACUCUUCUAUUAAGCCAUCAAAUCCUCUUCAUUCUUUUCUUCCAUCUUCCUCGAGUAUUUUGAGAAAUGGGUUCUUUAAACUUUGAGUGGGGUUUCCUAAAACUUCCUUUCCGUGAGAAAAAAGGCUUUCAUCAAAGAAAUGCUAUCUCCAACACCCUUGGUCGAACGCCCCGCUAUCUCAAACACCCUUGGUCAGGCGGUUUCCUCUUGACGGUUUGUCUCCCUGCUUGCUGCGGUGAUAAAUCGGGCUUGACCAUUACAUAUGUUGAUGGUCCUGUCUGAGGAACCUCUACCAGGCUCAUGUUGGCCGCACAACCCGAUCACCUGAUUUGGUUCCAUCCAUGAAGUUAUUGGAAGACCAACUGAAGAUACCAUUGCAUCCAGGAAGAGAAUUGAUUGUAAUACGUUGGCCUUGAAUCUUUUGUAAAUUUCAUCAAUUUGUCGAAAUGAAAUAUACAUUAUCUCAGCAACUCUUGUCUUUCCAUCUUGAAUGUUUGAUAAAUACGCAUUGCAUAAUGAUAUCCCGAAGCUCGCUUUACUUCGCAUCCUCUUCGAUAUAACAAUCUCUGACAUCGCAUCCUCUUGGAUGUUUAUGCUUGUUUCCUUCAAGGUCCGCCAGGUAGUAUCCCCCUCUAUCUAGAACACGACCAAUAAUGAAAGGACCUUCCCAUGUCGGGCUCCAUUUUCCAAAACCCCUGAGCUGAGCUCUUAGAGGGAGGAUUGUCUUCCAUACUAAAUCCCCUUCCUUGAAAGAUUUCAUCUUCACCUUCUUGUUGUAAGCUCGAGCAACAGCUCGUUUCCCUUCUUGAAUCUGGUUCAAGGCUUCAAUUCGGGCGGUAUCCAAGUCUUCAAUUCCUUGACACAUGGCUUCGACAUACUCUUCGCUAUGCAAUCUAAAUUGAUUUUGAAUUCUGAAAGAACUCACAUUGAUUUCCACGGGGAGCACUGCAUCCUGCCCGAAAGUUAAAGCAUAAGGAGUUGUCCCUGUUCCUGCUCUCUUAGAAGUUCUGUAUGCCCACAAAGUGUUUCCCAGAUUCUCAUGCCAUCUUUCUGGACUAUCCAUCACCAUCCUUUUGAUAAUGUUGACCAGGAUCUUGUUGCUAGCUUCUGCCUGAUCAUUUGAUUGAGGAUAGUACGGACUGGAUUGGAUCAUCUUUAUUUUGUACUUGCCUGCAAAUUCCUCAACUUCUUUUGAAAUAAAAGAUGGCCCACGAUCCGUUACUAUGGUCUCGGGCACUCCAUAUCUGUGCAGGAUUUUGGUCUCGAUAAAAUUCUUGACUGUGGCUGAAUUUAUGGAUUUUACUGCUGAUGCUUCCACCCACUUGGUAAAGUAAUCCGUUGCCACAAUUAUGAAGGUAUGCCCUUUACUAGAAGCUGGAUAGAUUUGCCCGAUAAAGUCCAUUGCCCAUCCUCUGAAAGGCCAAUGCUUGACCACUGGAUUUAAAGGUACUGAGGGCACAUGCUGGAGAGGUCCGUGCCUUUGACAUUCUUCACAUCCUCGGGCAUAAGACUUACAAUCUUUUUCCAUGUCGGGCCAGAAAUAACCAUACCUCCUAAGCAACCAUCUCAUCUUUGUUCCAGCCUGAUGUGCUCCACAAACUCCUUCAUGUACUUCGGCCAUUACCCUCAUGGAUUCUUCUUGGCCCAAGCAUUUCAAUAGUAACCCGUCUGGAGUUUUCCUUAGUAAGUUAUUUGCCUAUAAGACAUACUUAGUUGCUUGCUGUCUAUCCUUCUUGCUGGUAGGCGAGGAAGGAUCCUUCAAAUGGUGAAUAAUAGGUGACCUCCAAUCUUCUAUCUCGGCCUCUAGCACCAUUAUAUCUAGACUGAAUCCCCUUUCUAAGAUGGAAGGGAGGUUUCUUCUUUGGAUUUCAACAUCUACCCCAUGUUUCCUUUCCUGUAUUGGCACUCCUGCGGCUAGUUGUGCCAUCUCGUUGGCCGCUAAAUUGGAUUCCCUGGGAACAUGAUUGACCGAUAUCUCAGAAUCCCAAAAAUUCAAUAAUUGCGUAGCUGCCAAGUAAUACCCCGCCAUGGUAAUAUGUCUGCACUUAAACUCCCCAUUUAACUGGUUUAUUACCAACUCUGAAUCUCCAAAGACCUCUACCUCUUCUGCCCCUAGAUCCAUCAAGAUUUCCAGACCAAUAAUUAAGGCCUCAUACUCUGCUCGAUUAUUAGUAUUCCCCUGGUAAUCCAAGAGAAAUGAAUAAUAAUGAUAAACUCCCUGAGGGUUUAUAAUUACAAUUCCUGCUCCUGAAGCCUUCUGAGUGUGGGAUCCAUCGAAAUACAACUUCCAAGGAGUGAUCCAGAGACCAGCCACUCUUCUUAUCUCUUACUGGAUCCAGUCUUCUUUGCCCGAAAUAUCUUUUCUCGGCGGGAUCCAAAUGCUAGUAACUUCUAAGCUUCCAGGGAUAUUGAUCACCUCACUUGAAGAUUCUUGAUGCUCGGUCAGGAAGUAGGCAAUUGCUUGACCUUUGACUGCCCUUUGGGGUACGUAUUGAAAACUGAAUUCUGAUAAAGCUAGAAUCCAUUUCCCAAUCCUUCCUGUGAGCAUUGGCUUUGACAACAUGUACUUUAUCACAUCUGUCUUGGCGAUGAUGUGCACGUGACAAGGUAACAUGUAAUGCCUUAAUUUACUGGCAGUGAAAUAUAAAGCCAAGCAUAAUCUCUCUACCGGGGAAUACCUUGUUUCUACCUCGGUCAGAAUUCUACUGAGGUAGUACACUGCCUGCUCCUUCCCGCCUUCAUUAUUAUGGGCUAGCAAGCUUCCGAUUGAUUUUUCAGAGGCAGAGAUAUACAGCUUCAAGGGUUUUCCCCUUUGUGGUGGCACCAACACUGGUGGAGAAGUUAAAUAGGCCUUGAUGCUGUCAAAGGCCUGUUGGUGCGGUGGCUCCCAUUCAAACUUUUCUUUAUCUUUCAACUUUAGCAAAGGAGUCAGUGGUUGGAUCUUGCCUGCUAAAUUAGCAAUGAAUCUCCUUAAAAAGUUGAUUUUGCCUAGUAACCUCUGGAGUUGCACCUUGUUGGUAGGUGAAGGUGACUCCAUUAUUGCCCGAGAUUUGUUCUUAUCCACUUCUACACCUCUUUGAUGCACCAGGAAUCCCAAGAAGUUGCCUGCUCUUACUCCAAAUGCACACUUCUUUGGAUUCAUCUUCAAUUUGUGGAUCCUCAUCCUUGCUAAUGUCUGUCUGAGAUCUUCCAGAUGCUGUUCUUCUGUUUUGGACUUGACCACUAUGUCAUCAAUGUAUACCUCCAUGCUCUGGCCAAUUAGAUCAUGAAAGAUGGCAUUCAUUGCCCUCUGGUAAGUUGCACCAGCGUUUUUGAGCCCGAAUGGCAUGACCAGAUAUUCAUAUGCCCCCACAUGACCGGGACACCUAAAAGCUGUUUUAUGUAUAUCUUCUGGAGCCAUCUUUAUCUGAUUGUAACCGGCAUUCCCAUCCAUAAAAGAUAGGACUUUAUGUUUUGCCACUGCAUCUAUGGAUAAGUCGGCCAUGGGCAUGGGAUACUCAUCCUUUGGUGUAGCGCCAUUAAUAUUUUUGUAAUCCACACAACAUCAUACCGCUUUUUUUACAGCUUUUAAAAUGGGUACGAUGUUGGCCAACCACUCCACAUAUUUGGCUGGUCUGAUAAAGCCAGCUUUCACUAGCCUUUCAAUCUCUUCUUUGACCUUUUCUUCUAUCUCCUUUGACAUCCUCCGUGGUGCUUGCUUGACAGGCUUAUAUCCUUCCUUGAUGGGCAUUCUAUGUUCCACCAAGGUUGGAUCUAACCCUGGCAUCUCGGUAUAAUGUCAAGCAAAGCAAUCUUUGAAUUCUUGCAAAAGACAAACAAUCCUUGCCCGAUCAUCAACCCCCAAUAAACCACUGAUUUGUAUUGGCCUUAGGUCCUUCUCUGUUCCUAAAUUAAUGACUUCCAGAGGAUCCUGGACUUCUGAUGGUGGCUUAUCUGGUUCUGUACACAAAAAUUCGACCAGCUCCGGGCUCUCGGGCAAGUCGUCUGGCCCAUCCAGAUCAUAUAUGCACUCGGCCAUUCGAAUGGCCCCAUCCAGUUCUUCACUGCAAGAUUCCUCCUUGCUUUCAUGCUGGCUGGUUGAAGUUUCCUCCUGCCAUUCACGCUCUUCUCUGUCCAAGAGCUCCCUUUCUUGUCUUCUUCCCUUCCCGUACAUCAGCAGUCUUUUAAUCAGGGAUCUAACUGCCAUUACCUGAUCUCUAUUCUUUUGUCCACUCAUUGAUGGUGUAGGGGAUUUGGGAGGAUACAAGGUCUAUCCCACUCCUCUCUAGUAAGGAGCAUUCCUUGUUCUAAAAGCUUUUGGGCUGUCACCUUGGUAGGGCGGCCGUUCUCGUCAGCUCCUGAACACUUCAAGAUUCCUACAUUGGGGUUGUAGAAACUUGCUUCUACAAUAUUGGCUGUGGGGAGAAAUGGCCGUGAUUCGGCCUCUACCAUCUCCCAAAAGCCUGGUCCUUCUACGCCCGCCUCAUGAUAGACAGCCACUUGUUGAUGAAGAGUGGAGGGUAUAGCCAAACCUUGGUGGAUCCAAUCUCUUCCGACUAAGGCCCCAUAAGUGGAGGUGCAGUCCACCACAAAGAACGCCAGCAUUAUCUUUUUAGAUCCCAGAUCCACCUCUAGAGGCAAUAUUCCAUGAGUCUUAGUGAUAGCGUCUGAGAAGCUAGAGACUGUGAGGUCUGUGGGAAUAAGAUCCUCCGUACCUCUUCCCAUUUUCUUCAUCUGCUUGGCUGGUAACACAUUAACAGCUGCUCCUCCAUCAAUUAGAAUUCUUUUGACGGGCACACCUUCCAAGUGGGCUGUAACGUAUAUAGGUUUCAGAUGAUUGGCCAACGAGCUGUUCGGGCGGCUAAACACCAUCUCGUUCGUGUAAAUCCUUAGAGGACCACCUUUGGAUGCUUUUGAGGAUUCAGCCUUGCCUGAGCUUUCUUCUUCAACCACCUCUAUAUUGACAUGUGCCAUCAUUGGCUCAGUUGUCAAGUAAUCACCCUCCAUAGUAGCGGGUUGAUCAGGUCUGGCACCAAACGUGGCGGACAACACAUAUGUCAUGUUGAUAUGGAAAUUAUUAGGCUCGGGCGGACCUUCUUUAUUGUCCCCAAUCUGGUCCAUAAAUUCAUCCAACCAAGUCAUCGCAUCAGCUAGAAGUAAUGGUUCUGGUGCCCCCUCCUGUUGCUGUUGAUUCAUGCCCGCAUACAGUGUUUGUUUUGGGACUUCACCAAAAUGAUCCACCAAUGACAGAGAAGGUGGUCUCCUUUCAAAUGAAAUAUUUUCAGCAUGGUUAGGACCUGGCUUCCACCCAGGAGUUGGCAUCAUGAUUAGAUCUUCUUGAGGUCUCCUCAAGAUCCCGUACUUCCCGGGGUGUUGGCUCUGCGGCACGUGAUUCCCCUUGCCUUCUGUCUUGCUGUCGGCUUUUUCCACCUCUUUCUUGCUUCUCCAACGGAGCUGACCACUUCUUCAAGAUGCUGUUUUCUCCAGCUUUUGAUUUUUGGAGGCUUCAGAUGUUGUGGGGGUCUUUAAGGAAUUCAUGUAGGCUUUGUGCUGCCUUUGAACCCUCCUGAUCAUAGAGACUCCCAUUGGUUUAGCAGGCUGUCUGUUCUUCCCGACUACAUACCAUUUUCGCCCGAGGUGGGCAGGAUUUCCUUUUCUACUAGGAUUGAUCAUGCUAUCAAUCUUCUUGAUUUCCCUCCCCAUCUGGCCACAUUGAGGAUGAUCUACACUCCGUCGUAUUUUGGCUUCCAUGUCUUCCGCUUCAUCAGAAACCUCAUGGUUUCGAAAUACCUCUGACAAAGCUUUAGGUUGGGAAUCACCUCCUAGUCGUUGAAAGACGCUUCGGGAAGUGUCUUUUUUCGUUGCCUGCUUAAUCUUUUCGCGGGCUUCUCUUCUGACAUCUUCUUCCUUUCUCCUGAUUAAUUCAUGGUCAAUGAGUACUCCGGCCGGGGGAAUUUCAAGCUCACACUCGCACUGGCACUUACUGCACAUGACCAUCCCCUUGAUUAUGGCUGCUUUUGGAUAUUCGGGUGUUUUAAUCACCCCUCCUGUAGGUUUUUCAGCCAAUCUCUUCUCUUCUGGUUCCUUUGUAAUUCUUUCUUUUCCUUUCUCAGCCCAUGUCAUAUUGAUCAUAUUUACAGGGACUUCUGAAAAGGGAACUGCAGGUUUGUCUACCACCAGCUUUUCAGGCGGGCUGGUUUUAAGUCUCUUUCCCUCGGGAGGGACCAGGUCUGUUUCUUCUCUGAAGCCUGUGGAAGCUUUCUCCAACCUUUUCAACAUUUGUAGUAACAUAGUUUGUAAACCUUCUGGCAUCUUGACAUAUAUCUUCUGAUCAGGGGAGUCCCACCGAGCGUGCCAAAACUAUGUUCGUGGCAGGAAUUUCCGUCGGGGAUGUUUCCUGGCCGACGAGCACACAGCUCCCCUGGAGGUUGGCGCCGGUUGAGGGCUGCUGUCGGGCUUCUGCUUCACUGUCGGGCGUUGUCGGGCAAGUCUCGUCGGGCAAGACUCUUCGAGCAAGGCUGAAAGAGAAGGACAGCGUUAACUUUAAGAGGUGUCUUUAUGGGGCCUUAGGUGUAGGCCUUGAGGCUCACAAUCAAGGUUAACAUUUAGGUGCUUAGGCGUGCCACUGCCAUCUUUAGCAUGGCAGAUGUAAAAUAGCAGUCGCUUUAGUUGUAUGUAUGUAUGUAUCCAAGAAACCGUGUUAGUUAUAACAAGUGCCUUUGUGGGGCCUUAGGUGUAGGCCUUGAGGCUUCUCAUAAAUAACUAAACCAGUGCUCGAACGCAUCAUAUUCAUUCUCGUGAUUGUAGGAGUUUUCUAACUAUUAUACUUCUGAUUACCUGAAUCCAAGAAGUAGGAUGAACCCAAAUAGGUGCCUUUGUGGGGCCUUAGAUGUAGGCCUUGAGGCUUCCCAUCAGAGUUCAUUCUUAUAAUUGGACUCUUUAGGUCGCUGAACGGAAUGAAUCCAAAUGGAUGCCUUUGUGGGGCCUUAGGUGUAGGCCUUGAGGCAUUCCAUUAGAAUCCAUCCAUGCUCAAGCGUUCUAUGAUAAUCAUGGCAUAAUAGAAAGCAAACUAGAAAGUAGGUUGAUUACUUACGCCCCAAGUAACUUCGGACUUCUUGUUUAUCAAGGACUGUCAUGGAUGGGUUAAAUCCACAUAAGGUUCUUUUUUAUGCCUUGAGGCCAAGGACUUUUAACUGAUCAGAUUUACAUGCCCGAGAGCUUAGGACUUAGAUCUGGUUUGAACACUGACGAUAUAUUCAAAUCGGAUUCAAGUACUGAGAAAGCCUCUUAAUAAUCAUGUUGCUAGAAAUAACUUGCAUAUAACUGGAAGUAUACAACAUAUUGAAAAGACAAAACUAAAGCAAAGAAGGUCGGGCAAGGUUAAACCUUAUCGGGUAAGGUUGCUCGUCUUGCAGGUCCCUAUCUUUGUAGUUUUAUCAAAGGUCUGAAAGCUUAGAGGGGUAGAGAGAGAGAUUACAAAAGAUGAAUCGAUACUACAGCAAGGUUGAACAAGGUAGCAGAGUUAUUACAAAAGGUUGAAGAGAGGGUUAUCCCGAAAGGGAUGGAGGUUUAUCCCGAAAGGGAUGAAUGCUGACUACAGCUUUGUUUUGAAGGAAAAUCUGGCUUUGAGCAGAGUUUGUGCUUGCAUUUGUUUGUUUGAUUGAGUGUCCUUAAUCCUUAAUUUUCUUUCUUCUUAUAUAGACAACUUGGCUUGGCCUUUAGUAGCAGCAGCUUUGCCCGAAUGCGGUUUGAGUGUGAUGACUCAUCAGCUAUUUUACAUGUAAUGCCACCAUAAAGUACUUUAUGGGCUGUGUAGCUGACCAGCCUACACUACUUGGCCUUUGGGUAGGUAAGCAAGUGGUCUUCAUGAGCUGCAUCAAGUCAGAAAAGGCCUUCUCCUGCCUUCUGGGCUUUGACUGGGCUUCGGCUAUCUUCCCUUUCUGGCCUCCUUUUGGGCCAACUCCUUUCUUGAGCCCAAAGUUCAAGUUUUGAUCCAAACAGAUCCAGCACCUCUUUGUAUCUCUCUAUAUCUUUGAUCAACGAAUUCAACGUUUCUAGCGUGGAAUCGAGACCUCCGAGCGGAGCUCUCUAAACAUCAUAGUCUUGUCUUUGACAUCCUUAACAACCUCAUACAGCACAGUAAGCAAUGAUCCUACAACAGAACCUGCAAAAAGCUCCCCAUAUGAGUUGAAUGUAAAUCCUAGACAUGUCAAAUCCCAUAUAAAUUGUAAAUAAAGCUCAAAAUUGAUUUAUAUGACAAAAUAAGUUCUAAAAAGAAUCUACAACGUCAGAGUACCCAAUCCAACUGUAAGAAUAGAGGUUCAUGUAUUGCAGUACCUUCCAUUUCACUUUGCUUCCGUACCACGCCACUCCGUUCAAUUUUCUCAGCAACCGGUUUUUUAUUCCUGACAUGAGGAGAGGAGAGAAGAGAAGAAGGAAAUGAGGAGUGGGGAAAAUGGGGAAGGGAGAAGUACCGGCACAAGGAAGAUAUGGAGGGGUUAUAAUGUGGAAAUGUUCAUUACUGUCGGUUAAAAUCGACAGAAAUGUUUUUAAAAUAAUAAAAACCGACAUAAACUUCUCAUUAAUGUCGGCUAUAACCGACAGAAAAAAAGGCGGCAAAAAACCCCCCAAAAUUCCCUCUGAAAAUUUUAAACUUCUCCCCAAAUUUUAAAAUUCCCCCAAAAUUCCCUCUGAAAAUUUUAAACUUCCCCCCAAAUUUUAAAAUUCCCCACCCCCGUAAAAAAAAUUUGUUACGAUUUAAUAAAUAAAUAAAUAAUAUGUAUUUAAAUAGAAUAUGUUUUUAAAAAUUAAAUAAAUAAUUGUUUGGUUUAAUAGAUAAUUUUUACAGCUACACUUCUCGACCCUAUAAGAAUGUAAUGAAUAAAUUCGAUCUUUAAUUUAAAAUAUUUACACUAGUGGAUACCACAAAAUCUUAUUUUAUACUUAAUAGAAGUGUAAUAUUAACUCUAAGUGUUUGUUUAAUCUACCGUUUUGACGCAAUAUGCAUGCUACGAAACUUUUUUCAACAAUUCAACCGUCAAACUUAUUUGUACACAUCUGAGAUUGCAUAUGUAAGAAAUCGUAAAAAACAAACAUUCAGAGAUUACGUAACAGAACAAAAGUUUUCGACAGUUAUAAACAAAAAAUCACAAUUUAACGGUUAUUUUAGCUCCGAUUUUGAUGAUUUUUUACAGCUACACUCCUCGACCCUAUAAGAAUGUAAUGAAUAAAUUCGAUCUUUAAUUUAAAAUAUUUACGCUAGUGGAUACCACAAAAUCUUAUUUUAUACUUACUAGAUGUAUAAUAUUAACUCUAAGUGUUUGUUUAAUCUACCGUUUUGACGCAAUAUGCAUUCUACGAAACGUUUUUCAACGAUCCAACCAUCAAACUUAUUUGUACACAGUCCGAGAUUGCAUACGUAAGAAAUCGUAAAAAACAAACAUUCAUAGAUUACGUAACGAAACAAAAGAUUUCGACGGUUAUAAACGAAAAAUCACAAUUUAACGGUUAUUUUAACUCCGAUUUUGAUGAUGUUUUACAGCUACACUCCUCGACCCUAUAAGAAUGUAAUGAAUAAAUUCGAUCUUUAACAAAAUCUUAUUUUAUACUUAAUAGAAGUGUAAUAUUAACUCUAAGUGUUUGUUUAAUCUACCGUUUUGACGCGAUAUGCAUUCUACGAAACUUUUUUCAAUUAUUCAACCGUCAAACUUAUUUGUACACACUUUGAGAUUGCAUACGUAAAAAACAAACAUUCAGAGAUUAUAACAGAAAAAUCACAAUUUAACUGUUAUUUUAGCCCCGAUUUUGAUGAUUUUUUACAGCUACACUCCUCAACCCUAUAAGAAUGUAAUGAAUAAAUUUGAUCUUCAAUUUAAAAUAUUUACACUAGUGGAUACCACAAAAUCUUAUUUAUACUUAAUAGAAGUAUAAUAUUAACUCUAAGUGUUUGUUUAAUCUACAGUUUUGAUGCAAUAUGCAUUCUAUGAAACUUUUUUCAACGAUCCAACCAUCAAACUUAUUUUUACACACUCCGAGAUUGUAUACGUAAAAAAUCGUAAAAAACAAACAUUCAUAGAUUAUGUAACGGAACAAAAGUUUUCGACAGUUAUAAACGAAAAAUCACAAUUUAACGGUUAUUUUAGCUUCGAUUUUGAUGAUUUUUUACAACUACACUCCUCGAUCUUCAAUUUAAAAUAUUUGCACUAGUGGAUAAUUUUUUAUACUUAAUGGAACUAUAACAUUAACUCUUAAGUGUUUGUUAAAUCUAUCAAUUUGAUAGGAUAUGCAUUCUACGAAACUAGUUUCAACGAUUCAACCGUCAAAUAUGUUUGUAUAUACUCCGAGAUAGCAUGUGUAAAAAAUCACAAAAAAAAAAAAAAACAUUAAGAGAUUAGGUAAUGGGACCGUGAGUGAAAAAAAAAUAUUCACACCAUUUGUUUAUUUAUUUUUAAUCAAUGUAACAUUUUAAAAUAAUAAAAUAGUCAAUUUCUGUCGGUUAUAACCGGCAGAAUACUAAAAUAAUAACCGCCAGAAUCUAAAAUAAUAAAAUAGUCAAUUUAUGUCGGUUAUAACCGCCACCAUUAACUUAGAAACCGUCAGAAUAAUUUAAAAAUAUUACAAAAAAAGAGAAUUCAAAAAUACUGAGGGUUAUAAUAAUUUUAUGGCGGUUAAAUCCGCCAGGAAAAAUCCGUCAGGAAUUUAUGUCGGAUAUAUCCGACAAAAAGUAACUUUAAUCCGACAGUAAAUAAAUUAUGUGUCGGAAAUCUUUUAUCCGUCAGAAUGACUUUUCUUGUCGUUUUUAUUUGUGCCAGUAAUGGGUAGUUUUGUAGUAGUGACGGUUAAAUUUUGAUCUAUGAUUUAUAUGAUUAUAGUCGUCAAUUUCAAAGUUAAGCUCUUCAUGAGAGUUGUAUAGCUUGUCAUUACGAGCGUUUAUAUAUAUUUUUUCUAUAUUUUUUACAUUUCUACAUUAAUUAAAAAACUAUUAAAAACUUUACUUAAAUAACAGUAGUGAGAUAAAUGAGAGUAAAUAUGUACCAUUGGAUUCUAUUUCACUUAUAUUAUUAGAAUUUUUUUGGUAAUAGAAUGUAGGGGUGGGCACUUAGAACCGAAAACCGAAACCAAAACACGAACCAAAUCGAAUCGCACCGAACUGUUUGGUUUUGCGGUUUUGAAACGAUUUCAGUACUGAAACCGAACCGCAACAUAGAAAAUAGUUUGGUUUCGGUUUUAGCUUUUGAAAACCCCACCGAAACCAAACCAAACCGCAAAAUUAAUAAACAUUUAAUUAAAUGUCCACUUUAGAUUUCAUGUUUUAAUUGGUUGUUUGUUAGAAUCCAUACAUGUAGUGGACCCAACCACACUAGAAUAUCAUCAUUCAUCACUUUCUUUCGUUCAUUAACUCGAAGGACCUUUGUUAUUUUAUACCAUCACACACACACAUAUGUACAAGGGUGGACAAAUGUUGUUAUCAAGAGUCGAACAAUGAUCUAAUGAAGUCCACUCAUUUGAAGCAUGAUAUCACAUAUUAUAGUAUGAAAGUUUCGCUCACGUUUAAUGAAUUCAAAGUUAUUCAACUUGUUUUAUGUUAUACCUUGGAUGGGACACCCUUUUGUUGCACAAAUAUAUUUUAACAUCACAACUGCAUGCAACAUGCUAAUUGUUUAUAUAAGAAAUGUCUUUUUCCUAUUGCUACUGGGAAAUGCUUAUUAAUAUGUCAAAUUGCAAAUUGUACAUUUUUUCUUAAAAUCCAAACCGAAACCAUUUGCAACCGCACCGAACCGAACCAAACGGUUUGGUUUUAUUUCGGUUUUGGCUUCAAAACCGCACCAAACUGAACCGUAAAAAAAUUCGGUUUCGGUUUUGGUUUCACUCAAAACCACACCGAACCAAACCGUGCCCACCCCUAAUAGAACGUGGAGAUUAUAAUGGGAAUGGAACGAGAUCUUGGAAGUGAAAGUAUAGACAGUACAAAUACGAGUCUAGCAAAGAAAGAGGCUAGAGCAAUCAAUUUAGGUAAGCGAAAAUAUACUUAUAAGAAAAUUGUGUUUUUAUGUUUUGGAUGUGAGAAUAUAGCAUGUAUAUACUUAUUUAGUAUUAUGUUUUUCAUUUGAUUAUUUAUUGGUUUAAAAUAUAUUUUCCUUAACGGGUAACGGGUCGAAUCAUAUUACCUGCUAAUAUUAUCGGGUCGAUUUCGAGUCGGAUCAUUUUACCUGUUUAUUUUAAUGGAUGUUACACGAUACGACCCGUUAAAAUAUCGGAUAUGACAAGAAAACAACACGAACACGAAAAACACAACACGAAUCUCAGGUCUACUCUACACACAAAAAUAACACACUCAAAAUGCUCAGCAACAUUAUAAAACUUAAUAAAUUAUACGUAUACAGUACUAUAUAUGUAUUUGGACAUAACGUAUAAAAAUUUACUAACAGAAUCAAGCUUAAAUUUAACAAAAGAAGUAAUUAUGAAUUGAAAUAAAAUGAUAUUAUAGUUGUUAAAAAAAUACCUGACCAAUUUUUACAAAUAGCAUUAUAAAUUGUUAAAAAAAAAUAACAGCAUUGAAAAAUCUAAUUACUCAGAUUUGUAAUUCUAUUAAAACACAUCAUUGAAAACCCCAAGGAGAGAGGUGCAUAUUCCUAACUAGGGAUGAGCAACAGUUAUGGCAGACGGGGAACCGCAUUUAUUUAUCCAUAACCGUUUAUACUCAUACCCGCAUAACUAUUUAUCCAUUGGGUAAUUACCUAAACGGUUAUCCUCAUACCCAUAACCGUUUAUAAACGGUUAACCAUCCCCAUAACCGCGUACUCAUUUAACCGUAACCGUUUAGUACCUGUUUACCCAUUUACGCUUUUUUAGUUCCGUUUAUCCUUUCUUUUUUACUAUUUACCUCUUUUUCAUCCAUCUACAUGUUUUUUUUUUUAAAACUUGUAAAUUAAAAAAGAAAAAGUUGUCAUAAUUUUCUUGUUAUGACAAUUAAAUACCGUUAUAGGUACAUUCAUUAUACAUUUUCACAUUUUAAUUUUUUUUAAGUCCUUAUACCAUAGCAUAAACGCAGCUAUUGAUGCUAUCGUAUAACGGUCUAGACUCUAGAGAAGCAUAAAGGUUUCAUGUUAGUGGUUUCCUAUAUUGUGGUCGCAGCAAGCUUCAGCAGUAAACAUUUUCAUGUCAUUUAUCUAAAAGACAUACAUGACAAUAAUCAAUAUCUUCCUCCAGCGCCUGUCCCAAGCAGUUUUUCUGCAUUAUGUAGGACCGUAUCUUGAACCCUAAAAGUAGAAGGUCGACAACAAAGUUGAUAAAAUAUUGACAGCAAUUACAUAUAUAAAAUAAAUGGGUAAACGGUUACCCAUUUAUAACCGUGGUUAAUACCUAUAACCACCAAUUUAAAUUUCAUGGAUAAACGGUUAUAUCCAUAACUAUUUAUUUUUCUAAAUAUAUAUAUAUAUAUAUAUACACACGCGCGCGAGCGAUCGUAAUCUUGAUUCACCAACCCAGUAAAGUAAAAUUAUUAUCUUGAUUCGGUAAGCCAUGAAAGUGAAAGCUUUGAAUUCGCCACCCGAUUGUUACUUUUUAAUCAACGACGUGGUAUUGUUAACUGCUAUUAGUCAAAAAAACAAAUACUAAAUGCAGGUGGCUUUUGACUAUAGUGAUGAAAAUAUAUUGGAUCUUUGCAUAACGAUGUAGGUUUGAACUCAGUCAAUAACCAAUCUAACAUCUAAUUUAAUAAAAUUUAUCGUUUUAUAAAACAGAAAAAUACUAAACUAACAGUGAUUUUUACGUUGAUUAAUUCUUUAUAUAUAAAAGUUAACUUUUGUAAAUUUUUUGAAUUUCUAAUGGGAAAAGAACAAUCUAGGCAUUGUCAUUUAACUGUUACGAUGAAAUUUCAAUGUUUUUUAGAACAUACAUGAUGUUCAUCAGUUUCUUUAAACUCAAUUAGAUACUUCAAAUAUUUUUUAUUUGGCUAGUACUUUGUAAGGAAGAUCAAUGAGAUGCAACUUGAAAAAUAAAUUAUUCGGAUUGUUGAGGUUCGAUGUGAUAUAAGCCCCACAACCAAUCCCUACUUUGAAAAAAUGGACAUCCCUUCAUUCGGAAAGUGAUACUCUCCGGAUCCCCUUCAACCAAAUCCAUCUAGGUCGGGAUCCGGACCGUUGGAUUUUGAUCCAACGGUUACAGUUAUUAUAACUUUUAAAGUGGCCCCUGUUUGUAACCGUUACAUUAAAUUUUAACAAUCCGAUCCUAAAUUAGGUGGAUUUAGUGGAAAGAAAUCUGGAAAUCAUCCAUUUCCCCUUCCUUCAAAGAUAGAUACGAUUGUUAUCUUGAUUCACCAACCCAUGAAAGUCAAAGCUCUGAAUUCGCCGCCCGAUUGUUAUCUUUUUAAUUAACGUGGUACUGUUAAUUGAGAUUAGUGAUUAUGUUUUUUUUUUAAUGUGGAAGUGAUUUUUACGUUCAUUAUUUGUUUAUAUAUUAAGGUUAGAGACUAGAAUAAUGAAUAUUUUUUUGGAUACUAAUUGCAUCCCCACAUAUCCCUAAUUGUAAAUUAUAUCUUGUUUGAAUAAAAUCAAGAAUCAUAACGGUUCAAUUUAUCAAUUUUUACUUAAAGAUCAUUCAAAAAAUAUCAUUCGAAUUGGAGAUUGUUUUAUCAUCCCAACACAUCAAAAUAAAUGUGGUUCAUCAUAAAUUUAUUACUCGGUACCUAUACUAUCGUUAAUUUGUUUUACACGUUUGAAUGACUAAAUAAUUUUUUAUUGAAAUGACUUUCUAUGGGGGUGACACAAGUUAUUCGCAAGGGAAAAACCAGUUUAUCCCUCCAAGAGGAGGAAUGCAAGUAUUACCCAUAUUUUUUUAAGCCACAAAUUGGUAAAAAAGUAAGCAAACUGAAAAGAACACCUCAACAAAACUAUAUAAUUUUCGCUUAAUGUCAAAAUAGUCGAUGUGUUAUAGUCAUUUGGCCAAUUUAGUAUUUGUGUAUUUAAUUUGGCAUUUAAUCUUCGCGUUGAUCUUCGCUAACCAAGGACAUUACAUCCAAUUUCUGUUAAAAAUUCAUAAAAAUAUUAUAACCCAUUAUAGAAAGAUAUUGUUCAAUUAAGAUAAAAAGAAAUUUAAUUUCAAAAUGAAAAGAAAAUAUAUUAAAACAACCCAUUAUACAAAGUUAUCUUGAUUCACCAACCCAUGAAAGUGAAAGCCCUGAAUUCGCCACCCGAUUGUUUCUUUUUAAUUAACGUGGUACUGUUCAUUGAGAUUGGUGAUUAUGUUUUUUUUUAAUGUGGAAGCGAUUUUUACGCUCAUUAAUUGUUUAUAUAUUAAAGUUAGAGACUAGAAUAAUGAAUAUUUUUUUGGAUGCUAAUUGCAUCCCCACAUAUCCCUAAUUGUAAAUUCUAUCUUGUUUGAAUAAAAUCAAGAAUCAUAACGGUUCAAUUUAUCAAUUUUUACUUAAAGAUCACUCAAAAAAUAUCAUUUGAAUUGGAAAUUGUUUUAUCAUCCCAACACAUCAAAAUAAAUGUGGUUCAUCAUAAAUUUAUUACUCGUUACCUAUACCAUCGUUAAUUUGUUCUAUACAUUUGAAUGACUAAAUGAUUUUUUAUUGAAAUGACUUUUUAUGGGGGUGAUACUCAAAUGAAGAUUAAGAAACUAAAGGGUUCCAACUAUAAAUUUGUAUGAUCGAUACACGUUAUUCGCAAGGGAAAAACGAGUUUAUCCCUCCAAGAGGAGGAAUGCAAGUAUUACCCAUAUUUGUUUAAGACACAAAUUGGUAAAAAAGUAGCAAACUGAAAAGAACACCUCAACAAAACUAUAUAAUUUUCGCUUAAUGUCAAAAUGGUCGAUGUGUUAUAGUCAUUUGGCCAAUUUAGUCUCUAUGUAUUUAAUUUGGCAUUUAGUCUUCGUGUUGAUCUUCGCUAACCAAGGACAUUACAUCCAAUUUCUGUUAAAAAUUCAUAAAAAUAUUAUAACCCAUUAUAUUUUUCAAUUAAGAUAAAAAGAAAUUUAAUUUCAAAAUGUAAAGAAAAUAUAUUAAAACAAACCCACCCUGCCAUCCGUCAUGUCCUUAACCCAAAUCCCAACCAUAAUCACACACGCAGGCAACUCGACGAACGCGUUUCUAGAUCCACCAAUCAUUGCACGAGUGCCAUCAUCGUAGUCCUAAAAAAUUUAAUCAUGACCUCCUCAUCUUCAACUAUGUAAUUAAAAAGCAGACUGCAAUUGAGAGAGCCAUAUACUAUCCUUUAUCUUUAUUUUAAAUUUAAGUUACAAAAAAAUGCAUAUCAAUAAGAAAUAACACAUAUAAGAGAUAAUACUUCAAAUCUAAAAAACUAUUAAGGUUGUGACACAGAAAAGAGAGAGGCAACAAAAUUGGGAGAGGAUAGAACAUUAGACAAGAGAUCGGGAAGUUGGGAUGAGAGUGUUGUGGUCUAUUUUAUCUGACAGAGGGACAAGGGCCGGCGGCAGAGAGAGAGAGGAGAGAGAUGUGUGUUUGUAGAAUUGUAGGGGAAUGUGUGUGUUGUUAUCCCUCCUACAUUGUGCCUUUAUUUAUAGUAGUAAAGGGAGAGAAGAUAUUCCUUCUCCUCCAAGUAAUACAAGUUGUAAUAGGAAAGGAUAACUAGAAUCAAAUCUUAUCUAGGAUUUACACAAUCAUAAUUAAACUAGGAAUGUUUACAACACUCCCCCUUGAGUGGGUAAAUACUCAAGGUAGAUUCAGCAUCAUGCAAAAGUUGAGGAAGUCGACUCGUUGGCAUUGAUUCCAAGGAACAACGCUUAUUCUCAAUAAGGUAGGAACUUGCAUAAGUAGUAAGUCUCACUAAAAAACCCUAAGGCUAUGGCAAAAACCCAAGUAGGGACAAAAUCCAUAGUCUAAGGAAAAAUGCGUGAGAAAUGCAAAGUCAAAAGAAACGUCUACAGGACGUCAUCAGGGAUAUGACCAGCCCAAGGUGGGUGCCUCGUUAAAACCUAGUUAGGUAGCAAAAACCCAGUGGGAAAAAUGCUCCUAAUCGUAGGGAAAAAGAGUACAUUAAGAUCAAGCAAGUAUCUAGAAGAUACUCCCCCUGAGUUUGACAUAAUUCCAAAGAGAAAUAGCAAAGUUACAACUCAGAAAGUUUACGCAUACCAAUUCCAUGAACAAGCUUCUGAAACGUCGCCUUCGGUAGUGAUUUGGUGAAGAGGUCGGCCAGAUUGUCUUGUGAUCGGAUUUGUGUGACUUCAAUCUUCUGAUGCUCUUGUUGUUGAUGUUUAAAGAAGAACUUCGGCGCAAUAUGCUUGGUGUUGUCUCCUUUGAUGUAACCCUUCUUGAGCUGUUCGAUGCAAGCUGCGUUGUCUUCAAAAAUCGUCGUCGGGGCAUUAACGGCGGGAUGAAGAUCACAGGAGCUUCGAAUAUGGCCCACUACUGCUCUCAACCAAAAGCAUUCCCGAGUUGCUUCAUGUAAGGCGAGAAUUUCAGCAUGGUUAGACGAAGUGGCAACUAAGGUCUGUUUAGUUGACCUCCAAGAUAUUGCGGUGCCUCCAACGGUAAAGACAUAACCCGUUUGAGAACGCGCCUUGUGCGGAUCAGAUAAGUAUCCAGCGUCGGCAUAACCAACAAGGCGAGAAUCAACCCGAUGAGCAUAGGGUGCGGCAUCACUCGAGGAUUCGUAGGGAUAGAAUAAGCCCAAAUCCGUAGUACCCUUAAGGUAACGGAAGAUGUCUUUCACGCCAGUCCAAUGUCUGCGUGUUGGUGCAUUGCUGUAUCUUGCCAAAAGAUUAACAGCGAAGGAGAUGUCGGGUCUAGUGCAUUGAGCUAAGUACAAUAAAGCGCCUAUCGCACUUAGAUAAGGAACUUCAGGCUCCAAAAUCUCUUCAUCAUCCUCCUUCGGACGGAAGGGAUCUCGUUUUGCAUCUAGCGUACGAACGACCAUAGGAGUACUCGAAGACUUCGCUUUAUCCUCAUUAAAACGGCGCAACACCUUCUGGGUGUAGUUCGAUUGAUGUACUAGGAUUCCAUCCGAACAAUGCUCUAUCUCGAGGCCGAGACAGUAUCGAGUCUUACCUAGAUCUUUCAUCUCAAAUUCCGACUUCAGGUGCGAAGCAGUUCUCGCGAGCUCUUCAGGAGUUCCGAUGAGAUUCAUGUCAUCGACAUAUACUGCAACAAUCGCAAAUCCGGAAUGUGACUUCUUAAUGAAACACACAAGGGCAUAGUUCGUUAUUCACAUAUCCCUGACUAGUCAAAUACUCACUUAAACGGUUAUACCACAUUCUUCCGGAUUGUUUCAAACCGUAUAGUGAACGCCUCAGCCAAAUUGAGAGCGUGUUCCGGGGUUUGGAAAUAUUUGAACCAGUCAAUGUAAGUCCUUCGGGAACUUUCAUAUAAAUUUCCGUAUCAAGAUCCCCAUAGAGAUACGCGGUUACUACGUCCAUCAGCUGCAUAUCCAGUUUUUCGGAAACUACCAAACUGAUAAGGUAUCGAAAAAUAAUCACAUCCAUAACGGGUGAGUAAGUUUCGUCAUAGUCAAUCCCGGGGCGUUGUGAGAAACCUUGUGCUACAAGACGAGCUUUGUAACGCACAAUUUCGUUCUUCUCAUUACGCUUCCGAACGAAAACCCACUUGUAGCCAACGGGCUUCACAUGUGGAGGAGUAGGAACUACAGGUCCAAACACCUUACGUUUCGCAAGUGAAUCAAGUUCGACUUGGAUUGCUUGUUUCCAGUUUGACCAAUCAGCUCUACGUCGACAUUCAUCAACGGAACGCGGUUCAAUGUCAUCGCUCAACAUGAUCUCAGUAGCUACUACAAAUGCUAAUGCAUCGUCGACAAUCAUCUCAUUUCUACGCCACACAUCAUCUAAGCUAGCAUAAUAGACCGAAAUCUCACGAUUCUCGGGAGGAGGAUUCGUCUCUUCAAGGACGCUUCCAUAAUCUAGAAUUUCCUCAUGAGUUGGGUAAAAUGAGUAAGCGAUAGUCGGAUUCACGGUAGGCUCUUCAGGACCUUGUGCCGUGGUUUUCCUCUUCCGGGGGUGUGAAUCCUUUGAACCAAGGGGUCUGCCACGCUUUUGUGUAGGGGCAGAUGAUUGGCUAGCCGCUAAUGUACGUGGAUCACCAGAAUUGGCGUCCCGGGCUUCCAGGAGGGUAGUCCGUCGUACAUUUGGUACAUCCAUCUUUGCAGGCGUAUUCGCAGCUGGAAUAUGUGAUCUUGUCACGCGCGCUAGAUCGGUGAAAGCAUCUGGCAUGCUCUGAGCUAUGCUCUGGAGAUCUAAUAUGCGCUGCACUUCAGCUUCAGACUGAGCGGUGCGGGGAUCUAAAUGAGACAAAGUGGGAGUCGUCCACGAUAAUUCGCGUCGUUCAUUAGGAACGUUGACGUUCUUAUCUCCCCCUAAUGACGGGAAGACUGUCUCAUAGAAGUGACAAUCCGCGAAACGAGCGGUAAACAGAUCGCCUGUCAAAGGUUCUAAGUAACGAAUAAUCGAAGGAGAAAUCAUAACCGACAUAGAUUCCCAUCCUUCGCUGAGGCCCCAUUUUUGUACGUAAGGGCGGCGAGAUCGGCACAUAGACCGCACAACCAAAAACGCGCAGAUGCGAUAUGUCGGGGUUCGCAUCCGGUGACCAACUGAAGGGCACUAAAUGGUUGUGUCGCAACAGGCCUCAGGCGGACCAACUUUGCUGCGUGCAAUAUUGCAUGGCCCCAAGCAGCGAUCGGGAGCUUGGUACGUAUGACCAACGAUCGAGCAAUCAUUUGUAAACGCUUAAUGAAAGCCUCUGCCAGGCCGUUCUGGGUGUGAACAUGGGGUACAGGAUGUUCAACUUCAACCCCAACCGACAUGCAAUAGUCAUCAAAAGUUUUAGAUGUGAAUUCUCCAGCAUUAUCCAAUCGAAUAGAUUUGAUCGGAUAAUCAGGGUGGUGAGCCCUGAGCUUGAUAACCUGAGCCAACAGUUUGGAGAAUGCAGCGUUCCUUGUGGACAACAAGCACACGUGUGACCAACGUGUAGAAGCGUCAACCAAAACCAUAAAAUAUCUAAAUGGUCCGCAGGGAGGUUGAAUAGGUCCACAAAUGUCCCCCUGAAUCCGUUGUAGAAAAAUGGGAGGAUUCGAACGAAUCUUGUCAUAAGAAGGCUUAGUAAUAAGCUUUCCCAUAGAACAUGUUUGACAUGCAAUUUCAUGGAUCGAACCUAAGCUUCGGGUUAGUGGAUGCCCGUGUGAAGUUUUGAGGAUACGGCGCAUCGCUAUUCGUCCAGGAUGUCCCAAACGAUCAUGCCAAAGUGUAAUUUCGUGCGCGGUCCCUGUGGUAGGGCCGGCCACAUAGUGGCAUUCUAUGGGGCGUAUGGUCGUAGUAUACAGACCACUCGGGUUACGCUCCAUCUUCUCUAGAAUACGCUUCUGGCCAUAUUCGUAGGAAGUUACGCACAGAAAUUCAACUCCGUUUUCUACGUGGGUUUUAGCGUGGUAAUUGUUAUCUCUAAUGUCCUUGAAACUUAGUAACGUUCUUCCGGAACGUGGAGAAUAGAGUGCCUCAGCAAUGGUCAAAAUUGUACCAUUGGACAACAUUAUACGUGCCUUGCCGUAUCCUUCAAUCAGGUUGGAUGGGCCUGAGAGGGUUGUCAGAGGUGCAUUCUUAGGUACGAAGUUAGUGAAAUAGAUGCGUUCACGCAAAACAGUAUGCGUGGUUGCACUAUCUGCCAGACAACUAACUUUCCCACUAGUCAUACCUAGAAUGAAAAAUUAAUUUGAAUCGGUCACAUGCAUAAAAGUUUAUAAAAACAAGUAUCAAUUCAAAAUAAUUUCAUUUAUUCAAGGAAAAAACUGAAUAUCCAAAAUAAAUCGCCAACUAAUAAUCCAAAACAUAAAGGAAAAUUGUUCAAAAUCAACCAAAAAACAAGGUGGGGUUCGGCCACAAGGUGGAAUUCGGCCCCAAUUGUCUUAUUUUAACUAAAAAAUAAGUGUAUGUCUAAGAUUCUAAUCUUCCAUAAGAGUGGUAUCCUCCUGAAAAUCAGAAACCUCCAUCUUUGUAGUCUCCGGUUCGUCCACUUGUAGGAAGUUUGAUUCAAACUUCGUACGACGAGAAUGAUAUGCAUCCACAACCUUCUUGGGAGCACAGCAAAUACGGGACCAAUGGUCCUUGGAACCACAACGAUAGCACAUAUCGUCAUUCAUUGUGGCAGGUGCUUUGCCCUUAUUCUUGAAGUUCGGGGCCUUGGGAGCGAGGUUUGGGCGCUUCUGGGCUUUGUUUCCUCCUUUGGAUGGGCCUUGGCUCUGUUAACCUUGGUGGGAUGGCUUCUGGCCGUCCUUACCACGCCUCUUUUGGCGUUUUGGGUGCUGAUUAGUGCUAUAAUGUGCUUCAGGCACAGCAGUAGCCCCAGUAGGUCGAGCUUGAUGAUUCUUCAUCAACAGCUGGUUCUGCUUUUCAGCAAGAAGUAAAACAGAGAUCAAAUCCGAGAACUUAGUGAACUUCUGAGCUCUAUAUUGUUGCUGCAGGACAAUAUUAAAAGCAGAGAAGGUCGAGUAGGUCUUCUCCAGGAGAUCCUCUUCAGUCAAAGUUUCAUUGUAAAACUUGAGAAGUGAUCGGAUUCGACAAACUUCAGAAUUAUAUUCAUUCACAGACUUAAAGUCUUGGAAGCGCAAGUGCUGCCAGUCGUGUCUUGCUUCAGGCAAGAAUAUGUCCUUUUGGUGAUCGAAACGAUCAGCCAAAGCGACCCAUAAUGCACGUGGAUCCUCCUCAGCAAGGUACUCAGUUUGUAGAGCGUCAUGGAUAUGUCUUCGGAUGAAGAUCAUAGCAGUGGCUUUUUCAGCCUCGCCAACAGGUUUAUCUGUUGCUUCUUCAAUAGCAGGACGCAAGUUCUUUGCAGUGAGGUGGAGCUUCACAUCUUGAACCCACUUGAGGUAGUUCCUUCCAGAAACCUCCAAAGCGGUGAAGUCGAGUUUGUUCAAAUUCGACAUGGUCCUAUCAAAAUAGAUGGACAAGAUGUGGUUAGUGUAAUGGAGAAAAAUCAAUCCAUUCACAUAGGAGUAGAACAUACAGGUUCUAAUAGACAUGUAUUGGUUUAAUUUUGCAUGAAAAACUUCGGGUUUUCAUGGGUGAUAUAUUUAAGUGAAAACUUCGGGUUUUCAAACAAGGCAUGUUUAGAAGAAACUUCGGGUUUCAAAGUAAUUAUGAACUUCAGGUUCAUAUAUUCCUGCAGGCAAACACAAAUAUAUAUGCAAACAAAUAUGCAAAGAAUAUAUGCAGAGAUAUUGUAUAAUGAUAAGUGAAUUAAUUUAUUUUUGGUCUUCGGGGCCAAAUUAAAGUGUGGGUGAAAAUAUAAAAACCCAUAUUAUUUUAAAAAAAAAAAUUAAAUAAUAAAAUCUCGAGGCCUAAAAAUAUAGGCCAAGAACCCUCGGGUGGGAUUACAGGCCCACGGGGUGAGAAGAGGGGAAUGGGCUGCUGUGUGCAGCCCUAAAAUUUUUUUUUUUUCUCGGGCCGUUCCAGGCGAGCCCAUAAUUUUUUUUUUUUUUUUUUUUUUUGUAUUCAAUUAUAUUAUAUGCAUGUAUAAUUUUAAUGAAUCACAUAUUUACGUUGAUGCAUAUGCAAAUAAUAGUUUCAAUGCAUGUACAUAUGUAGGAUUCAAUUCAUGACAAAUAUCAAAUUCACAUAAUUGUAGCAAUUUUGAUUAUGAAGCAUACACAAUUUAUGUAGAAUCUAAAAUACGUUAAACGUAAAGUUGGGUCAUGCAUCAUGGUGAAUGUUCAUGCUAUCAGGGCUUGCAAAAUAUCGAGUUAAAAGCCGUUGUUUGGAAAGAACCUGAUUUCGUGAUGAUAUAGAUGAACUGGUUUGAUGCAGAAAAAAAUCUCCAACGUCAGAUUCCUAAGCGCAGCGGUAGGAGCGUGCUGAUAACGUGUUGUGGUCUAUUUUAUCUGACAGAGGGACAAGGGCCGGCGGCAGAGAGAGAGAGGAGAGAGAUGUGUGUUUGUAGAAUUGUAGGGGAAUGUGUGUGUUGUUAUCCCUCCUACAUUGUGCCUUUAUUUAUAGUAGUAAAGGGAGAGAAGAUAUUCCUUCUCCUCCAAGUAAUACAAGUUGUAAUAGGAAAGGAUAACUAGAAUCAAAUCUUAUCUAGGAUUUACACAAUCAUAAUUAAACUAGGAAUGUUUACAACAGAGGGUAAUUUUUCUUUUGAUUUUGAUUUUAUUUUAUUUUUAAAUAUUUUAAAUCAAAUAGAUAAUUUUAUAAAUAAUUUUAUAAUAGUUUAUGAAAAUUUUAAGAAUGAUUGGAUGAAAUGUCCUUAAUUGGAUAAUAAAGAUAAACACGAAAAUCAAAUUGGCCAAAUUAAAAAUAGAGUGACUAUACUGACCUAAUUGCUAAAACACAGAAACCAUUUUGAUAUUUAAGCCUAUAUUUUUUUUUAUAUAUAUAAAACCAUUUGAGAAAUUUAGCCAAAAAAAUCAUCAUAUGUCCACGUUGCCAUGCGCUAUUUUAUUUUUAAUUGUGAGAUUCCUUUGGUCUCGUUACAAAGCAAUUUGUUUUUUUUUCCAAAAGUAUUGAGUUUGAAAUAGUGAUUUCCUCGAGUCAUAAUGUUAUCUUUUGAAAUAGUAUUCUCCUCUAGUGCCAAUGUUAUCAAUAGUUCACUUGUAAAACCCUUUUUUCUUAUAGGGAAUUUAAUAAAAAUAGCCUAACAAAACAAGGUCUUAAUAAAAACACUCAAUGGACAUUUUUUGUAUAUACGAUAUUAUCUAUACUAAAAAAUGAGAAAUUAAACUAUUACCAAUAUGGUAUUGCUUCAAUUUUUUUUUCCUUUUUUCAAACAUGUGGGGAAAAAGUUGGGGUGUUUUUGUGUUUGGUAAACAAGGACCAACCUGCUUUUUUCAAAAGUAUUGGUCAUUUGAAGCCGAAAAGGGGAAGUAGCAAAUAGCAACUUUGAGAAUAUAAAUCCUUGUUCUUUUGUUUUUCAAAACAUGGAUGAACAGUGUCAAUUUGAAAGCUCAUUUUUACAAAAAAAUAAAUAUAAAAAUGUUUAUCAAAUACUCAACUGUUUUAUUUAUAUCUAUUUAAUUUCACAAUAUAACAAAACAAUUUUUUUUUUAAAUACAACAAUAUCAAGCUAACUCUAAACUUCACAAUAUGCUACCGAAUAAUUUAUUUUGAAUUCGGCAUAUUUUCAAAGAUAAGAACAAAUAAAUAGACCCCAAAGGACUUGGAUCCUCUCCUGAGCUAAUGGAGAGGAUCCUCCUAACCACUAAUCAAUGGCCGUUGGAUUUUUAUCCAACGGCUACAAACAGGAGGGUCCCUUUAAAGUUAUAAUAAUUAUAACCGUUAGAUAAAAAUCCAACGGCCCAUGAUUAGUGGUCAGGAGGAUCCUUUCCAUUAGCUCAGGAGAGGAUCCAAAUCCGACCCCAAACAAAGACCCGGUCCUGUUUUGGGUGACCAAAGACUCAGUCCUCUCCACGUCAUUGAAGCUGCUUCCGCAGCAUUAAUUUUCUUUUAAUUUUCACCGGUCCUAGGCUCCUAGCCAUCUACGACUUUUCUCAACUUAAUUUUCUUUUAAUUAUUAAGAAAAACUCCCUUCUCCUUAUAAAAAUAUAGAUUCCAAGAAACUAUCCAAAAUAUGUGAUCACAAAAUAGGACAAACAAGAGUGCUACAGCUGGUUUUCUUAGCUGCAACUCCUUCCUGUUGAAUUUCCAAUCUUUUCCGCCGGCCGUUCAAUCUUUUCCGACGGGAGGGGGCGUUCAAUCUUAAAUCUUGUCCAAUGGGCCGUUCAAUCUUUGAAAUCAUAAUCUGGAAGGGAAAUACUUGCAUCCACUUGUACAUUUUCUUAAUUAUUAUUUUUAAGAUCAUUUUUACAAAAUAAUUAAUUAAAUUCAAGACCCUUAGUUAUUCACAUGCAUUCAAGAAAUAGACUAUCUUGAUAUUAACCAACAUUUCAAUAUAUAUCGUCCGUUUGUUAAUUAUAUAUGGAUGACAAAUCGAUAUUUGGUUUAAUUGAUUUUGUUUUUUUUUUGUUUUUUUUGAACAAAUGAUAUCAUUUACAGAGGUAGGUUUAGCCCCACAAUAAACUAGCAAUAAUGUGGUUCAAAUUCGUCGUUAACGAAAAUCGAAGCUAAGACCUCUCACUUACAAAUGAAGAAGAAUACCACUAAAUUGUAGUACUAAUUAACAUUUAAUUGAUUUUUUACUAGAAUAAUUUUGAAACAAUGGCUAACAAAUCAACGAUUUUAAAUACGAUGCCGGCAAAAAUGGGCAGGUCCAAGAAAAUAAAAUAAUUGCAAAAAUGGACAGGUCCAAUACUGCAAGUAUGCAGUUAAUGAUAUUUUACGUCUAGCUGGUUGGACCUUUACACUCCUCCAGAGUUAUAAAAUCAAGCAUCAGUUGGCAUUCAUAAUACUCAAGGAAACAAAUUGAGACCUGGUCGAAGUCUGAAACAGCUAAAACCUCCCUGAAAUUUCCCAAAGAGCAAUAUGGCACUUUGGAUUUGGGCAACAAUUGGGGUGCUUGCACUUGUUCACGUCCUGCAGACAUGGAUAUCAAAAGGCAAGAACAAGAACAAGAUGCUACCUCCUGGUCCGAGAGGGUUUCCUAUCUUUGGCAGCCUCCACUUGUUAGGGAAGGUCCCUAACAGGAAUCUUUAUCAACUAGCCCAGAAAUACGGCGACAUCAUGUACAUGCGGUUAGGCCUCCAACAUAACAUUGUUAUCUCGUCCCCACGAGCGGCCGAGCUGUUCCUCAAAACACACGACCUUAAUUUUGCAAGUAGACCACCUCAUGAAGGUGCAAAGCACGUCAUCUUUGGGCAAACGAACAUGAGCUUCGCUAAGUAUGGCCCGUAUUGGCGCGAUAUGCGAAAGAUGUGCACGCUCGAAUUACUUAGCAACCACAAGAUCAACUCUUUCAAGGCCAUGAGGAGAGAAGAGGUUUCUCUUCUGAUUCAAUCUGUUCAAGAGGACGCCAAUGAUCGACGGGUUCCUAUCAAUCUCAGUGACAAGAUCGCAUCGCUCAGCGUUGACCUGACCUGUCGGCUGGUGUUUGGGAAGAAGUACAAGGACGAGGACUUUGACGAGAGGGGUUUCACGGCGGUGUUGAAAGAGUCUAUCCAAAUAGUAGCAGCACCUAACUUGAAUGAUCACAUUCCUUUUCUUAGGCCGUUUGACCUGCAAGGGCUCACCAAAAAAAUGAAGUCUAUCAACAAGAAGUUUAAUACUUUUUUUGAGAAGAUAAUCGACGACCAUCUUCAAUCCAAGGAUGAAGAAAGAACAAAGGACUUCGUUGAUGUCGUGCUGGGCCGCAUGGGGUCUGAAGAAUCAGACUACCGAAUCGAACGCGUGCAUGUCAAAGCCGUUAUGCUGGUAAGUAUACAUAUCAUUUUGCAUAUUUUUCUUUUCAUUCUUGCUUGACAUCAAAUUAAAAAGAACUUGUUUCUUGUUAUACGAUUUAACAUGAUGUGGUCUAAGAUUGUGAUUAUGAACUAUUAGGUUGACUUUCUUUGAAUAUAUUAAAUUGACUGUUGAUGGUUUAAAUUUGUAAUUCAUCAUGUACAUGAAAUUGUCAUCUAUGUACAUGUGUCGCACUACUAUAUAUAUACUUCAUCUUCAUCUAACAAUGAAAAAUUUAUUGGCAGGACAUGUUCGCGGCCGCAUUGGACACACCACCAUCAGCAAUCCUGUGGGCGCUCUCAGAACUCCUUAGGCACCCACAAGUUAUGAAGAAACUCCAAAAGGAGCUAGAAAAUGUUGUAGGUCUCAAUAGAAUGGUGGAGGAAUCAGACUUGGAGAAAUUGGAGUACUUGGACAUUGUAGUGAAGGAAACCUUGAGACUACAUCCUGUGUUACCAUUGUUGCUCCCUCAUUUAUCCAUUGAAGAUUGCACUGUCGAUGGGUACCACAUACCGAAAAAUUCGCGCCUUAUCGUAAACGCAUGGGCAAUUGGGAGAGACCCAAGUGCUUGGGAAGAUGCAGAGAAGUUUGUACCAGAAAGGUUUGAGGGCAGCAAUAUUGAUGUUAAAGGAAAACACUUUCAGCUUAUACCGUUUGGCUCUGGCAGAAGACGUUGCGCUGGAAUGCAGUUAGGGCUUACUGUGGUACAGUUUGUGUUGGCACAGAUUGUGCAUUGUUUUGAUUGGGAACUUCCAGACAACAUGUUGCCAAAUGAGUUGGAUAUGACUGAGGUGUUUGGUCUUGCAGUUUCUAGGACCAAGGAUUUGCUCCUUAUUCCUUCAUAUCGCCUUCAGAAUUGAUCAUGUUUUAUGUGUCUGUAGUGCCUAUAUAUUUUCCUACUUGUCAUAAGUAUAUGUCGUGGACUAGCUAUCUUUUCUGUGUUUCCCUCCUUUUUUUUUUAAAAUAGGGACAACUAGUGGCAAACCACAGUUAUCUACGCUUUUCGGAGGCAUCUUUUCUGUGUUUCUACUGUCUUACAUUUGUGUUCUUCACUUGAUGAGGAGAACAAGCAAUGUAAUUAAUUAAAUAAAGUGGUGUCUGAUAAGGAUUUUACUACACAUGUGAAAGGGCUAAAAAACUCCUAUAAUACUUGCAAGAAUGAUAAGGUUAUUGUAAUAUAAACGGAUCUUGCAAUGUCGUUCUCCACAUGAAUUAUUAAAUAAUUCGAAACAAACCAAAUUCUAAUUAAUUAUUGUAGAGUAGAAAUUGAGAUGAUUGAUCUUAUAACUUAUUUAAAUUAAACACGAAUUUAAUUAAUAAAAGUAAACUAAUCUGCAAUAUUAAAACUAGAAGGAAAAGAAAACAGUUUAUGGAGAAAUCAAAUUAAGAAAACACUAGGUUCCACCAUCACCUAGCAAUCCUAUGAACUUUUACCAAUUACUUAUGAUCUACACAUGUGAUGAGUAGAUUUUAUAUUAUAUAUUUUACCCUAAUCUUACUAUAUUUUGGAAAAAAUUUUAUACUUUGAAUUGUAUUUUCAAUAUAGGACUUUCGAAUUCCUCUGGAGCAAAACAGGACCAAAUGAACGAAUUUUGGAGUAAUUCCAGUUGGAGGACGUUCGUGAGUCAAUUAGCUUGAUCGUAACAAAAUUUAGAAUUUUUCCACUAAGCGGUUAUUUCUGGCGAUAAAAUAAAUGAGCGAUGCGCGGUGCUGGAAAAUGACGUUUCUGGGCUUAAAUUGCGUUUUUGGAGCCCAAGAUGACCUUGGAUGGGUUCGUGGCCUUCUGGAGAAGUGUUCAGAAUAUUCCAAACAUUAAAUCCAGCCAUAUUGGGCCAGUUUUGGAGCAGCUUAUGGGUCCAAAACAUGGCUGUUCAGAUUUUAGGCGAAUUUUACCAUUUAAUUUAGGGUUAUGUUUCCUAUUUUAUUUGAUUAUUAUUUUUAGUUUCCUAGUGGGAAUAAAGGACCUGUUUUUAGGGUUUGUGUGGGGGCUUAGCAGAUAUUUGCUUGGCCAUCUACAGUUUUACGUACACUUUUCUUUUAUGCAACUUUAGAGACAAAGAGAAUUGCUAGGGUUCUUGGAGAUUUUCUACUCUAAAGUGUUUUCAAUCCUUUUCUUAGUAAUAUUUUCUAUGAUUGCAAUUAUGAAUAUGCAUAACUAAUUCCUUUUGCUAGGGCGAAUCCUUGAGCCUUAGCAUGAAUAUGUGAUUUUUAUUUAAUUGCUUAUGAUUGAUUGCAUGCAUACUUUGAAUUAUUAAUCACUGGGAUUAAAACUAUUUAAUUGUGUUAAUGCUUGAUCACCAUUAGGAUCUUUAGAAAAGUAAUUUGAUGCAAAUUUGGUCAGAAUGUUCCCUGAAAUUGACGCUGGCUUCUUGUGAUUAAUAAUUGUAAUUUCACUUAGGAUGAACACCACAUCUUAAGGAUUGCAUGGUUUUUCAAAAGGUUUUCAUAAAGCAUAAUGAGUCUUUCAUGUUCAGAUUUGAUUCGAACGUCCGGACGGGUUGCAUGUUAGAUAUAUGUUCAAUGUUGGAGGUUCCAAGUAGAAUAUAAAUUAGGAAAACCUAACCUUCAAAGUGGCAUGUGUAGAUCAUAAGUAAUUGGUAAAAGUUCAUAGGAUUGCUAGGUGAUGGUGGAACCAUAGUAUUUUCUUAAUUUGAUUUCUCCCAAAAUUGUUUUCUCUUCCUUCUAGUUUUCAAUAUUGCAGAUUGUCUUAUCUUUAAUAGUUAAAUUCGUUUUUAAUUUAAGUAGGUUAUAAAAUCAAUCAUCUCAAUUUUUACUUUACAAUAAUUAAUUGAAAUUUGGUUUGCUUUGAAUUAUUUAAUAAUCCAUGUGGAGAACGACCUUACGAGAUUUGUUUAUACUACAACAACCUUGUCAUUCUUACAAGUAUAAUAGGAGUUUUUAGCCCGUUCACAUGUGUAAUAAAAUCCCUAUCAAGAAAAUGGCGCCGUUGCCGGGGAUUGUUUUAAAUAGUUUGUGUCUAUCAACUCUUAAUUAAUUAUUAUUGUAUAUAUCUUUUUAUUUAAUUGCUGAUUUUGUUUUUGUAGGUUACAAUUUGUUUCUUUUUAGCAGUGCAACAAUGAAAUUUGCAGUUUCCCCUGAAUUCAAUCUAACACCCGAGGGACCACCUCUUUGGGUUUCAUUAGCAAAAACGGGUUAUUAUGGAUUUAAGCCUACGAUUUGUGCUCUUUGUAAUUCAAAUACUCAUGAUAUUUUGCAAUGUCCUAAGAGAGAAUAUUUUCCAGAUUAUGUCCAGGAGUAUAUAAAUAUGAGAAACGAUUCAAAACUGGAACAAUCCCCAUUCAGAGUUCUACACUCAAAGUUUGAAAGAGCAUAUUGGGCAGUAUUUUGAGUGGCUUAAUGUGCCACAAGAACUUUCGGUGGAGGACAAACUAUCUAAAUUGUUGGAAUCAACUGAAUUGUACAUAGAAAUAAUCAAUCAAGGAUUUCAAAUUUAAGCAGUAAAUUGUGGGAGAAGCUAUGAUGAUCAAGAGGUUGGUGUAGGAACCGAGGAGCCAUCUGCCUGUUAUUCACACCCAAAGGAGGAAACAGCCCCUGAUGACCUUGAAACUUACAUAGAAUCUGCUCCUACAAAAGUCUGUGUGCCACUCAUGCACUCUCCCGAGACUCCAAGGCAACCCGCUAAGCAGCAAGAAUGCAUGAAUACUCUGACAAAUCUAAUUACAGGACAGCUGCUUACUAAUCAGAAAAUUUUAGUGGCGGUAACGGACAGUGCACCUGCAUAGCCCUUCAAAUUCAAAGAAAUGCCAGAUGAGUCCUGCAAACAGGCAAAGAUCUAUAUGGAAAAGAGGAAGCUUAUUGACAGCCAAGUUCCUCGUAGAAAAUUUUAGCCAGUGCGGAAACUAUGGGUGUUAGAUACACGAUUUAAGUCAGCUCGAUGGAGAAAUAAACAUAGCUGGAAAGGAACCUAUUUCUUUCCAAAGAUUCAUUCAAAAAGAAAGGCGUAUAAGAAGAAUUCAACCAUUAAAUUUGGAAGCACAGUGCUCUAUGACAUUAUUAAAGAGUGGUUAACUUUGAAAGAACAAGUGAGGUGAUCAACAAUUCUUUCUGCUACGUCUAGCUAUAGACUUUAACUAAAGCGCUUUUUGGAAGGCAACCCAAUUUUUCUAACUCUUUUCUUUUUAUUUCGUUUAAUUUAUUUUCCUGUUUUUAUUCCUAAUUACAAAAAUCAAAAAGAAAAAAAAUAUUGCAAUUUUUAAUUCUUGUUAUUUUUCUUUACUUAUCUAAUUAGUUUUUUUAUUGCAAGUUGCAUUCGGAACUGAUUCGGCCUAAUCCCAACUAAGGGGGUGCAAUCAACAUUUAUUCCCCCAGCACAUUCAUCAUCAAUUCCUCUACAUUCAUGAGAUUAGGCAGUGUGGAGUGCAGAAACAAAGUUGAGGGAUCUAAGUAGCACAGAGGACACGAUUCAUCAAGGCAGAAUACAGUUUCUGUUAUCCACACUUUUGGGCUCAAAUAUACAUUAGUGGGUACAGGCAAGCACACAGAUAGAGAUUUAUGAGCAUGUGGAGAACAUUAUCAUGCAUGAUGCGCAAAUAAGAGUUAGGCAUCUAUGUUCUAUACCUUUCCUUUUCAGAUAAGCUCCAGACAUCUACCGUUCUUUUCUAUGUCAAAUCAGCAUUCUGCAAAUCCUGCCGCAGAAGCACACAUGCAUUAGAUAAUUUUCAUCCAUUUUUUCCCCAAAUCUAAGCAUAUAAAAAAAAUAAAAAAAAUUGAAGGGAGAUGUGGAUAAAAAUUACCCAUGAAUGUGUCGGAAUCAGAGAGGGAUGUGAUCUGCGAUGUCAUCUUUGCGGCUGUUGAUAUUACUGUUUGAGGACGCUCGAUUUUUGAGGUUCGAAGGCAGCAAGAUGAUGAAGGAGGACAUCGUAAAAGAGUGGUAGAUGCGCUUAGAUGGUCCUGGUUCAAAGAUGAAGUUUGGGCGUAUAGUGCGGCUCUGGGGUAUACGUUUGGUUUUUAAGAUAGAAAUGGUUGUGGGCUCGAGGAUGAGAAAAGAAGAAUCUAGAGAAAGAAGCUUUCUGAAGCAGCUAGAGGGAGAAAUAAGAAAUGGGAAGACGGCGCCAGGGUAAUUCUAUAUAUAGAUAAAUGAGCAUCGAGUAAGCUUAAACAAGCUGGCUAAGACGUUUUAGAAUGAGCCACAUCGUGGCCCACAUUUGCUCCGAGUCUAGCCGUGCAACAACUUCAUUUUCAAGCCCAGGUAAUAUCUUUCUUUUCUUUGGUUUUGUUAAUCAUUUUCACUUUUAUAAUUAUUAUAUUUUAGUUUAAGUUUAUUUCAUUUUUGUCAUGUUUCUUUUAUUUCCACACCUUGAGGACAAAGUGUAAAAUAAGUUUGGGGGUCGGAAAGUACAAUUUUAGGCUUUUAUUUUUUAUGUCAGUUAAGAAUUUUCAUUCUUUUUAAGUUAAUAUUCAUAGAUUAUUUUAAACGUUAGAAAAAAUGGACGUGGUGAAGAUUAAUCUUACAGUAUAGUCUUUUCUAUUUAUCGUUGCUUAGACACUAAUUCAUGAAUUAUACAUUGAACUUUGCACAUCACAUCAACAUGGUUUGUGGGAAGCGAGAUUGAAACACUUGCUUUUAGUCUAAGUUUAUUUUUUAUUUUUGUUUUGAGUAAAGUCAGUUAUUAUUGUGAAUAAAGUAAUAAUUGUCUCACCCGAGGUUUUGCCUAGUAACUGGGCCAGUCCUGCCUAAUCAGCAGUGAUUCUUACGUCAAAUGGUAGAGUUUUGGCAUGGGGCAGGGUGGUUAGUUAGUUUCAUAGCCUUUUCAGCUCAGGUUAAUAAGUCCUUAAGGGUGUUCUACACCUAGUGCCCUAAAGCCCUAGUGGUUUGGGAGUCAUUGACCUAAAGCUCGCUACAUGGGUUGGAUCGAAAGCUUAAGUGAACUGACAUUGCACGACCACUACUAUUACUGAAGAAAAAAAUUAAAAAGAAAAAGAAAAAAAGCUAUAUUCAAAGUUAGUAUGUGUGAAAUAAAGAAGGACGAGAGGUCAGAGUUUUAGUCGAGUCUCCCUAACU
rnacentral:lncRNA from 1 species